rnacentral:lncRNA from 1 species
AGCACGUCGCUCGACGGUCCAAGUCCAAGCCCGGGACUCGCAGGGCAUCCUACAUGCCGCCACCGCCUCCUGCCCAGCCUGCAGGUGAAGCUCGCUGCAUCUCACUAGAGCCUCUUGCCACGUUAGGUCGUGAUAUCACAAAUUUCACCACACUUGGCGCAGCUUCCUAUCUCACUUUCCGCCGCGACAUAGAUCAAUACGAGGUCGUUCGUGAUUCUACGGAUUCACGUUUCCGCACAAACGUCCAGGCGGACAUCUUUACCACGGUCAUAGUUCCUAAGGGGUUAUCUAAUCAUCUUUUUAUUGAUGUUGAGCAUACUCGCAUGCACCCGGCGAAAUAUCCGGGUGCCAUUGAGCUUAUUGAGGCAUCGGGGCUUGCCGCCCCAUUUGUUUUUCAUUGCGACUAUAGUGCUGCUGCCAUUCACCAGUUCUAUGCCACAUGUUAUUUUGGCUCUGACAACACUGUCAGCUGGAUCACCUCUGACAUUCGCUUCAAAGCCUCUGAUGCUACUUUUGUUGCCGCACUGGGUUUCCCCAAUUCCGGCUACAAAAUACAUAAGGAUGAUCCUAACCAUUCGCCUAAGACUAUUGACGUGUGUGGACAGCUUCUCAAGCCACUUCGUGAGCUUGAUGCGGAUGAGCGCCUGAAGGACCUUAACCAGGUAUCCAUCUGGCGCUCCCCUUACUACAUUAUUUUUCAGUGUCUCAUCCGCACCAUCUAUCCCAAGAUGGGUGAUAAGGGCUCUUGUAGUGGCUAUUGUAUCGACAUCAUGUAUCACUUGUUCGAGAACCCCAAGAGCAAAAUCAAUGUGCCCCAUUUCCUAUGGCAUGAGAUUCGGCUUGCUAGCUUUCAGUACAAGCGAGCCUUUCCUCACGCUCCUUUCAUCCAGGCACUUAUUAACCACGUUGCUGAUUUCUCUGUGGCUGCCACUCACACCCAUCGCAAGUGGGUCAUUCCCGCUCACAUGGCGGAUGGCUUUGCUCCCAAGAAAGCCCCUUCUUCCUCCACAUCCACUCGCCGCACUGCUGCACGGGCCGCCACCCCCUCAUCUAUCUCCGCUCCUCUCGGUCGCAUUGCCAAGUUCCUUGGCAAAGCUCAUUCUGCUUUGAUGAAGGUUGUCUCCUUUCAGUGUGGUCAAAGCCAUGACGUGGUUUCCCGCCUAGUUUCCUCCAAGAAUGCCCUCAAGGCUCGUCUGAGAGCCUCGGGCGCUCUUGAUGUGAGUGAUGAUGAGGCCCCUCCUGCUGCUCCUCUUACUGAUUUUGGCUUCCCGUCUGGUCCUGAGUGGUCUGAGUUCUUUGACGAGGCUGGGGGCAGUGGCUUGGCUGAUGAUGCUGAUGAUGAUGGUGAUGAGCUUUGAGUUUGAUUGGUGCUGUUGACGGCUCCCUUUUUGGUACUUGGUGCCAAAGGGGGAGUAAUGUAUCGUAGUUAAAUUUUUAUUAUCGUCAUUUUUAGUCUUUGGAGAUUUAAUGUAAUGGAUAAAACUCAUGUAUGGCUACUUAUGAAUGGUUGUGACUCGCUAUGAUAUCAUCAUAGACUAUUAUGUCUUGCUUCCUUAUUUCUAUGAUGAUUUAUUAUCCUUCCAUGUUGAUCCAUUGGAGCUUCAAUUUCUUUAUCAUGCAUAUCUUAAGGGGGAGCUCCGUACUAAAUAUCUCCUAGACUAUAAUGUAUGUUUAAUCUUUUUGAGACCUAUGUAUAUGUUUUCAUCAACUACCAACAAGGGGGAGAUUGAAAGUGCAUGAUAUGCCCUUAAUCGUCUUUUGGUGUUAAUGGCAACACAUACAUAGGAAACUAAUCAUAUUUGUUGAGUGUAUCUCAGGACGGCAAGUACUUUAAGUAGACUGAGAUUUAUGUGCCAAAGGUUGUCUGAAAAGAUUGGUGAUUUAUAUUUCGAGAAGGCUCGGGAUUAAGAAGAGAUGAUGUAGAGUAGUCUUUUGAGUUUACUGAUAUUGAGUAUAGGGAUCCCGCACUAUUAAGAGGGGAUCACAGGCUUUGCGAUAAACUUGCUCAUACCACAUCUCUACUAUCAUACCAAACACCACAUACCAUCCACUCCUUCAAAUCAAUACAUGUCCAAUUUCCUCGGACAUCCGGCUCCCUCCGGACGUCCGAGGGCCGGACGUCCGGCUGGCUUCGGAAAUCCGCAGUCAGGCACCCGAAGUUUGUGAGGCUUAUAACUCGGAAAUCCGGCUCCCACCGGACGUCCGAGGGCCGGACGUCCGGCCAAGCUCCGGAAAUCCAGAAGUCUACACCAGUAGAAUGUGUGCUCUAUAUCUCGGAAAUCCGGCUCUCUCCGGACGUCCGACCCCCAUCGGAAAUCCGGAAGCCACCACCAGUAGAAAUUGUGAUGUAUAAUACGGAUUUCCGGGCCACUCCGGACGUCCGUACGCUGAUGAAUUCAAAUAUGUUCAGGCGCAUCUACAGGCCUCGGACGACCGAACCCUGUCGGACGUCCGGUCGCUGAUGAAUUCAGAAGAGUUCCAGUCGUGCCUACAGGUCUCGGACGACCGACCCCUGUCGGACGUCCGGCCCCUCACGGACGCCCGGACUUCCGGCAAGUGUCAGACGUCCGGACCCUGUGUGACUUAUUGCACCUCCAACGGCCGGAUUUCACUCCACACUAUAAAUACUCUUCUCCCACCUCGUGAAAGGGUGUUCAACACAGCUAAGAUGCACCCAACAACACCUUUCCUCUCACUCACUCUUGUCUACACCAAAUCCUAGAUCCCAAGAGCAUUUGUGAGUCAUUUUGAGUGUUGUUCCAAUCAAAAGAUAGAUCGUCUCCCUCUCCUCCUUCCCACCAAAGUGAUUUGUGAUUUGAGCAAGUUUUGAGCAAUCCCCGUGAUCUUGUUACUCUUGGAGGUUGGAGACUCCUAGGCGGUAGGAGUCUUCGGAGAGGAAUCAAACCACUGUGAUAUCCCCCGGAAAGUUUGUGAAGGUUUGGAAGCCACCUCAAGGCUUACCACUAGUGGUUGAGAAACGCCUUCGUGGAGUUAUCUCAAAGGGAGAAUAGGGUGAGCCUUCGUGGCGUUGGUGUGCCUUCGUGGUAACAUCCGCCCCUCUAACGGUGACGUAGCUUCCCUCCAAGGAAGUGAACAUCGGGAUACAUCCUUGUCUCUCUCGGAGUUUCGGUUAUUCCUAACCCUAACUAUCUACUUGUGUUAAUCCUUAUUACAUACUUGUAUUUGAUUAUUGUUUACCGCUUGCCUUUCUUCACCCCCAAUAGCUUACUCUUUGUCAUAGCAAUUAUUAGGCUUACACUCAUAUUCCGCACUUUAGCCUAAAAUUGCUAAGUAAUUAUUAAAAUUUGGAUUUGUACCUAUUCACCCCCCCCCUCUAGGUCCAUCUCGAUCCUUUUCAGCUAUGUUUCACCUCGCUACACAAUCACCUAUUACCGUUACUUUCAGUGCUUGCAGUUAUUACCUUGCUGAAAUCCGCUUAUCAGAGCCUUCUGCUCCUCAUUGGGUUCGACACUCUUACUUAUCGAAAGGACUAUGAUUGAUCCCCUAUACUUGUGGGUCAUCACUUCCAUAUGCGCAUUGGGCUGAGGUGGGUGGCGCACCAGCCCACCUAGGAGCUGGUUCCCAUCCACUUUUAGCCCAUAUGGCCCUUUGGGGCUAGUGGCCCCACCAGGUGGACCCCCAGAACCCUUUCGAUGGUCCCAGUACAAUACCGACGAUCCCCGAAACACUUCCGGCGAUCAAAUCUUCACUUCCUAUAUAUGAAUCUUUACCUCCGGACCAUUAUGAAACUCCUCGUGACGUCCGGGAUCUCAUCCGGGACUCCGAACAACCUUCGGUCACCACGUAUACUAUUCCCAUAACAACUCUAGUGUCAUCGAACCUUAAGUGUAUAGACCCUACGGGUUCGGGAACCAUGCAGGCAUGAUUGAGACACCUCCUCGGUCAAUAACCAACAACAUGGUCUGGAUAUCCAUGUUGGCUCCCACAUGUUCCACGAUGAUCUCAUCGGAUGAACCACGAUGUCGAGGAUUCAAUCAAUCCCGUAUACAAUUCACUUUGUCUACCUGCACGAUACCUGCCCAAGAUUCGAUCGUCGGUAUCCCUAUACCUUGUUCAAUCUCGUUAUCGACAAGUCUCUUUACUCGUUCCAUAACACAUCAUCCCGUGGCUAACUCCUUAGUCACAUUGAGCUCAUUAUGAUGAUGCAUUACCGAGUGGGCCCAGAGAUACCUCUAUGUCACACGGAGUGACAAAUCCCAGUCUCAAUUCGUGCCAACCCAACAAACACUUUCGGAGAUACCUGUAGUGCACCUUUAUAAUCACCCAAUUACGUUGUGACGUUUGAUACACCCAAAACACUCCUACGGUAUCCGAGAGUUGCACAAUCUCAUGGACUAAGGAAAUGAUACUUGACAUUAGAAAAGCUUUAACAGACGAACAAUACAGUCAAGUGUUAUGCUUAGGAUUGGGUCUUGUCCAUCACAUCAUUCUCCUAAUUAUGUGAUCCCGUUAUCAAUGACAUCGAGUGUCCAUGAUCAGGAAACCAUGAUCAUCUUUUGAUCAACGAGCUAGCCAACUCGAGGCUCACUAGGGACACAUUGUGAUCUAUACAUUCACACAUUUAUAACGGUUUCUGAUUAAUACAAUUAAUUAUAGCAUGAAUAAUAGACAAUUAUCAUGAACAAGGAAAUAUAAUAAUAACCACUUUAUUAUUGCCUCUAGGGCAUAUUUCCAACAAAUUAGACAUGUCAACUAUAGUUAACUCAAAUGAUAAGUGUCACGCGCGUGGCACAAAAUAACACUGUCCUAACGUUUUUACAACUAAAAUUGUUAUUCGAGAAAAAAACUGAAAUUUGUCAUCCAAACAGAAUAUUGUCAUGGUUUACAACUAAAGUUGCAGUCUCCGAAUAACUAAAGUUGCCAUGGAAAAAACAUGAGGAUGGAAUUGCUUCAUGGCACGUGUGCGAAGUGGGAUGAGUAGUUGUUUUGGAUCUGCAUGCGGGCCGUCUAGAUGCGCCCAAACGUGUGCAUAGUUUUAAUGUUCGCCAAUACAAGGUCGCGGGGGCUGGUUCCUAGAUACGAUCAAGCGAGUCGUGUGGUUGGGUGUUCAUCGUGCCACACGUGUGGUGAAUACAAGGAUCCUAAUUUUUUAGGUUAAUGCUAUUUUGAUAUCAUUUACAGUUUACACAUACUUUGGACACACUUCUAAUCACUUUUGAUGGCAUAAGGUGUCAAAAGAACUAGCCUUAGCGAAGCGUACCAACUCCUCAAUAUGUGAGAUGGUUCACGGUAAUUCCUUCUUCUAGGGGUAGUGCUAGGUGCCGGCUGUUGGGUAACGUAGCAUAAAUUCAAAAUUUUCCUACGCAUAUUUAGAUCUUCCUAUGGAGAGACCAGCAACGAGAGAGGGGUAAGAGCAUCUUCAUACCUUUGAAGAUCGCUAAGAGGAAGCAUUGCUAGAACGCGGUUGAUGGAGUCGUACUCGCAGCGAUUCCGAUCUAGUGUCGAACCACGGCACCUCCGCGUUCAACACACGUACAGCCGGUGAUGUCUCCCGCACCUUGAUCCAGCAAGGAGGAGGGAGAGGUUGGGGAAGAACUCUAGCAGCACGACGGCGUGGUGUCGAUGGAGAGACGAGGUCUCCCGGCAGGGCUUCGCCAAGCACCGGCAGAGAGGAGGAGAAAGAAGGGCAGGGCUGCGCCGAGGGAGAGGGAGAAGUCUAUCUCCCAAGGGCCAAAAACCCCUCUCUAUUUAUAGGAGGAGGGGGAGGGGGUGCGCCACCCCUAGGGUUCCCCCCUAGGUGGUGCGGCAGCCACCAGAUGGGAAAGGGGGGCGGCGGCCAGGGUGGGAGGCGGUGGCGCACCACCUGGUGGGCCUUAGGCCCACCUGGCUUAGGGUUUGCCCCCCCCCUUCCCUCUUCCCUGCGCAUUGGGCUGAGUGGGGAGGCGCACCAGCCCACCUAGGGGCUGGUUCCCUCCCCCACUUGGCCCAUCUUACCUCCCGGGGUCGUUGCCCCCCUUCGGUGGACCUCCAGGGCCACCUCCGAUGGUCCCGGUGGUCUUGGUACGUUACCGGUGAUGCCUGAAACACUUCCGGUGUCCGAAACCAUCUGUCCUAUAUAUCAAUCUUUACCUCCGUACCAUUUCGGAGCCCCUGGUGACGUCCGGGAUCUCAUCCGGGACUCCGAACAACUUUCGGUAACCUCGUAUAACAAUUCCCUAUAACCCUAGCGUCACCGAACCUUAAGUGUGUAGACCCUACGGGUUCGGGAGACAGGCAGACAUGACCGAGACACCUCUCUAGCCAAUAACCAUCAGCAGGGUCUGGAUAUCCAUGGUGGCUCCCACUUGCUCCACGAUGAUCUCAUCGGAUGAACCACGAUGGCAAGGAUUCAAUCAAUCUCGUAUACAAUUCCCUUUGUCUGUCGGUAUAGAACUUGCCCGAGAUUCGAUCGUCGGUAUACUAAUACCUUGUUCAAUCUCGUUACCAUUAAGUCUCUUUACUCGUUCCGUAGCACGUCAUCGUGUGACUAACUCCUUAGUCACAUUGAGCUCAAGAUGAUGUUCUACCGAGUGGGCCCAGAGAUACCUUUCCGUCACACGGAGUGACAAAUCCCGAUCUCGAUUCGUACCAACCCAACAGCAACUUUCAGAGAUACCCGUAGUGCACCUUUAUAGUCACCCAUUUACGUUGUGACAUUUGAUACACCCAAAGCACUCCUACGGUAUCCGGGAGUUGCACAAUCUCACGGUCGAAGGAAAAGAUACUUGACAUAAGAAAAGCUUUAGCAUACGAACAAUACGAUCUAGUGCUAUGCUUAGGAUUGGGUCUUGUCCAUCACAUCAUUCUCCCAAUGAUGUGAUCCCGUUCUCAAUGACAUCUAAUGCCCAUGAUCAGGAAACCAUGAUCAUCUAUUGACUAACGAGCUAGCCAACUAGAGGCUUGCUAGGGACACAUUAUGAUCUAUUUAUUCACACAUGUAUUACUGUUUCCUGUUAAUACAAUUAUAGCAUGAACAAUAGACGAUUAUCAUGAACAAGGAAAUAUGAUAAUAACAAUUUUAUUAUUGUCUCUAGGGCAUAUUUCCAACACCGGCGCGCCGGCCCGAGGGCUCGCGCCGGUCGCGCAGCAGCCGUGAGAUCAGGGCCCCCUGACCGUCAGAUCUGGUCGCGCCAGCCCCCACCGCCCGCCAUCCUCGCACGCGCCGCAGUCCUAGCACGCGCCUCGCCCGCGCCGACGCCCCAGCACGCGCCGACCGCCUCGCCUGCGUCGACGCCCCAGCACGCGCCGACCGCCUCGCCUCGUCUCCUCACCGCUGGUCGCCCUCACCGUCAGUCGCCGCCUCGGCCGCCCGUCGAAAGCACCAUGUAUGCAGCCCGUCGGUCUUCACCUCGUCGCAUCUCACCACCUAUGUUGCAAACGCUGGAUAAAAAGUUUCAACCGUGUGUAAAAAAGCUUCAACCGUUAAGAAAAACGGCUUCAACCAAAAACUUCAACGAGGGAAAGUUGCAAACGUUGACAGAAAAAACUUCAACCGUGUAUGAAAAAAGUUUCAAACGCCGCUCCGACUGCAGCAUCUCGCGUGCUCACUUCUCAAAAAGUUUCAACCGUGGAUAGAAAAGCUUCAACCGUUAAAAAAAAGCUUCAACCAAAUACUUCACGAGAAAAAAAAGUUGCAAACGUUGACAGAAAAAGCUUCAACCGUAUAUUAAAAAAGUUUCAACCGUCGCCCCGCUGCAGCAUCUCGCGUGGUUCACCUUCGAUCACCGCCGUCAGGCGCAGCGGCUGCCGGUGGAGAAGCCGCAGCGCUCGCCGACAACGCGUGAGGUUGCAGGGGGGAAAAGGGGAGAGGAGGGGAGUAGAAGGAGGAGGAGGAGGAAGGAGAUGGAGGAAGGGGGAGAGGAAAGGAGGAGGCGGUGGGCACGCGAGAUCCCCGCCGUCAGGCGCAGCGGCUGCCGGUGGAGAAGCCGCAUCGCUCGCCGACAACCCUGAGAUUGCAGGGGGAGGGGGAAGAAGAGGGAAGAAGAAGGAGGAGGAGGAGGAAGGAGAUGGCAGAAGGGGGAGAGGAAAGGAGGAGGCGGUGGGCACGCGCGAUCUGGUCGAUCCAACGCCAGCCACGCGACCGGCCGAACGUUUCGGCCGGCGCGCUCGCGGAAAACGUUUUCCUUCUUCUAGGGGUGUUUACUCACGGUGAUUCCGAGCUUCCAUUAGAUCGUAGCUGGCACCCUGCUUUCUCUCGCGGGCUUAACUCCAAAAGUUCAGCGUUCCAGAAGCAACCUCCAACCAAAAAUAGCUGCUAUGUACGAGUCCAUGAUACUGUCGAGAACAAACUUCCAAUCACCUCUCGGCGGUCGAAACCAAAAGCUGACCCUACCAACGUUCACUCCGAUGAAUGUCAUUGUCCGUCCUCAUUUCUCACGCCCCACGAUUGGCUCAUACCAUCGGUACAAAAUCUCCAAGCUCGCAGUGGCACGCCCAUAAGAAGGCCAACGCUUCAAUAUACACACGCAUUGCAUGGUUACAAAAAACAUCAUACUCGACUGGCAGCUAUAGACAGGAGCUAGUGUCCGCGAGCACCAUGGCGCAGCCGAACCACCGGUACGGCGGCCACCGUGACCUGGAAGCCGUGAUAGACAUGGACCAGCCGGAGAAACUGACGGCGAAAGGCGGCAGCCGGUUCAGCUUCACCGGCGGGCUGGAGUUCACCAGCCUGACGUACACCGUGGUCAAGAAGCAGCGCGGGGUCGGCGGGGAGUGGGAGAAGAAGGACGUGGACCUUCUGCACGAGAUCACCGGGUACGCGCCCAAAGGCUGCGUCACCGCCGUGAUGGGCCCCAGCGGCGCCGGCAAGUCGACAUUCCUGGACGCUCUCGCCGGGCGCAUCUCCAGCCUCGACGGCCGCGUGGCGCUCGACGGCGUCGAGAUGAGCCCCAGCGUCAUCAAGCGUUCGUCCGCCUACGUCAUGCAGGACGACCGCCUCUUCCCCAUGCUCACCGUCUACGAGACGCUCAUGUUCGCCGCCGACUUCCGCCUCGGCUCCGCCGUUUCCCCCUCCGACAAGAAGCUCCGCGUCGACAACCUCAUCGAGCAGCUCGGUCUCACGGUAAUUAACCAAAGGCGAUACCUAUAUUAUACUUUGACAAAAGUAAAUUACAGUAUGAUACGUACGUGCGCAUGGAGUGUAUGCGUGUUAACAAAGCAGCUGCGCACUGCAGACAUCAAGAAACACGUACAUCGGGGACGAGGGCACGAGGGGAGUGUCCGGCGGAGAGCGCCGGCGCGUCUCGAUCGGCGUGGACAUCAUCCACGGGCCGGCGCUGCUGUUCCUCGACGAGCCGACGUCGGGGCUCGACUCGACGAGCGCGCACAGCGUGAUCGAGAAGGUGCACGACAUCGCCUGCGCAGGGAGCACCGUGGUGCUGACCAUCCACCAGCCGUCGUCGCGGAUCCUGCAGCUGCUCGACCACCUAAUCAUCCUGGCUCGCGGGCAGCUCAUGUACAGCGGCGGGCCCAAGGAGGUGACCGCGCACCUCGGCCGCAUGGGCCGCAAGGUGCCCAAGGGUGAGAACUCCAUCGAGCACCUCCUCGACGUCAUCCAGGAGUACGACCAGUCCGAGUUCGGCGUCAACGCCCUCGCCGAGUUCUGCCUCACCGGUCUGAAGCCGCGCAAGCUCGCCGCCGAGGGGCUCUCCACCGUGUCUAGCAUCCCUCCCACACCGGUUGGGCCCGGGGGCGAGGACUUCGACCACAGCCUCAGGAGCCAGCAUUCCAAGUCUCCGUGGAGCGGCGCGCAGUUCACGCCGUCCCGGCGCCCCAAGAAAGAUCAAAGCGGCAAAUCACACAACCCUCCAAGGUACCCGAAAACCGUUCUUCGUCGUGUUAUGAACGUAGUAUGACUCUGUAGAUUGUGGAAGUUGGCUGGCGUUUGCAUGUCCGAUCUGUCGCAUGAACUGCAUAGCUUGUCUCCGGGUAUCCACAGGUACGGGCCGGAGAUCGUGAUGGGGACGCCGACGCCGCUGAGCAGCAUCUCGGUGUACACGGUGAACGAGGCGGACUACCUGUCGCCGGCGCAGCGCGGGUCCGCCACAGGGGCGCCUGGCGUGGGCAUCAACGCGCUGGGGCACCGCGGCAAGUUCGCCAACUCGUACGCGGCGGAGGUGUGGGUGCUGAUGCGGCGCAACUUCACCAACAUCUGGCGCACGCCGGAGCUGUUCCUGUCGCGGCUGAUGGUGCUGACGGUGAUGGGGUUCCUGAUGGCCACCAUGUUCACCAAGCCCAAGGACAACACGCAGGGCAUCACCAACCGGCUCAGCUUCUUCAUCUUCACCGUGUGCGUCUUCUUCUUCUCCUCCAACGACGCCGUCCCGGCCUUCAUCCAGGAGCGCUUCAUCUUCAUCAGGGAGACCUCGCACAACGCGUACCGCGCGUCCGCGUACGUGGUCGCCGGGGUGAUCACGUACCUGCCCUUCCUCCUGCUCCAGUCCGCCGUGUACGCCCUCAUCACCUGGUGGGCCAUCGGUCUCCACGGCCAGUUCGUCUACUUCCUCGUCAUGCUCUACGCCUCGCUCCUCUCCACCAAUUCCUUCGUCGUCUUCAUCAGCUCCAUCGUGCCAAACUUCAUCCUUGGGUAAGUACGACAACUUUUGUUUUUGUUUUUACAGGAAAUGGACUGGUCCGGACCAAAGCCCAGUUACAUGUAGUAGGAAAACUGGGCCAGCGUAGCUGAACAUGUGCUAGUGGGCUGGGCCAGAAUUAUUACAUGCAACCUUGCUGAUGUGUGUCUCUGACUGAACGGACGGUUGAACCCACCCACAGGUACGCGGCGGUGAUCGCGUUCACGGCGCUCUUCUUCCUCUUCUGCGGCUACUUCGUGGACAGCCACAGCAUCCCGCAGGGGUGGAAGUGGAUGAACACCGUGUCCACGAUGAAGUACCCAUACGAGGGCCUCCUGAUGAACGAGUUCGGCGGGACGCGGAGCUUCUCCUCGAACCCGCCGCUCAACGGCGACGAGAUCCUCGAGAACCUCACCAUCAGCGUGCACAAGGACCGCAAGUGGUGGAUGGUGCUCUACCUGCUCGGCUGGGCCGUCUUCUACCGCGUGCUCUUCUACCUCGUCCUCCGCUUCGCCUCCAAGAACAAGAGGAAGUAGCUCAAGAACCGGACGCGCGCCUGGCCGGCCUGUAUCCACGUAUCAUGGCGAUUUGCUAGCUAGCUUCGUCGGAAGCUCUUUGGUGAUCAUUCAUUUAGUAGUAUAGUACAGAGAUAAAUACAUUAUGAGUGCCUUAACUUGUCCGAGACGGUCACUUUGGUUUCUAAAGUUAAAAAAUGCGUAAAAUCGGUGCCGUAACUUGUCUCUCCGUUCAAAUACAGUGCAUCCUCGCGUAUUAAGUCGUAUGUAGCACAAACGUGGCAAGUUAGAGUUUCGUGGCCCACAUGUCAGUGGCCGGUGGCGCGUCGUGGUGAUUUUCUUUUACGGUCCCUUAAUCCCCUAUCUCUUCUAUCUGAGUCGCACCGCUUCGUGCCCUCUCCUCUUCUCCCGAUCAUUGCAAGGCGGCGGCGAAGCUGGUGUGGCACGGCACGGCGACCGGCGGCGUCCACGGCGAUGGAUAGCCCGCGUCGUCGGCGUCCAGGCGAGGGACCUCCUUCCUACUGUUAGUACCUUCAUUUCUCUGUUGUUCCUCCCUUUUCAGGCGUAAUAGGGCUAGGGUUCUUUGGGGGGUUAUCAAGGAGGGGACUUUUUAUUUGAAAGGGGAUGAUCUUGGAUAUGUGGCAGUGAUAGUUCUCUUAUUUGUGCAGUACAAUUUGAUGGAAUGUUCUGAAUUGAGAUCCAUCACAAAGGGUUUUUCUAUGAAAGUGGUAGCAACAUGACCUACAUGGAUCAUGAAAUCGAUUGGUUUGAUGGUUGUGACACUGAUAGUUGGUCAAUUCUGUGGAUUGACGAUUUCCUUCUCCAAUUGGGAUAUAAUAGAGUAAUCUCCAAGAUUGAUGUGUACUGGAGCAAACCUAGGAACUCUAUGUGUGAUGGCCUACAGUUGAUUGCGUCUGAUGCAGACAUUGUCCUUAUGAUUGCUGCAACAGUGGAUCACAAAAACUUACUCCUACUGGUAGAUCAUGCUGACACCCUAGAGUCAGUAAGCACUGAUGAUGUGUUGGGAGUGGGGAUGCAUGAGCUCCCAAGGGUUAUUACUCCAGUUAAGUCGGCAAAGGGUAAAGAAAAUGUACCCGGCUUUGACAAACCAGAAAUUCCAAGACAUAUGAGAUGUAACUACAAGAAAGCAAAAAAGAUUUAUGUCAUUUGAUGAAGGCAGUAGCUCACAUGUUACAAAUCAGGAAUUUGAGGAAGAAGAUGGCAAUUGUAAGACUGAUGAUAGUGGUGCUCAAGAUGCAAAUGACAGUAGUGAAGAACAUGGAGAUGAUGUCAAUGAAGAAAUUGAAACAGAUGAGGACUUUUAUGAGAGUGAUUAUGAAGGAGCAGAAGGUGAUGAUGAUCUGUUUGAUAACAAUGUAGACAAAGAUGUUGAUGAUUAUAGAGAGAAGGAGAUUGUGCAGGACUUUGAAGGUGAACUUCCUGAAGAUGCUUUAGAUGGCAACCAUUUAAACCUGUCGAAAGAAGAAGGAGACAAGCUUAGGCACAAAUUUAGCACAUUCAAUCCAUCUACUGACCUGAAAGCACCGGCUUUUAAAGUUGGCAUGAUUUUUGGUGACAUGAAAGAGCUCAGGCUUGUUGUGGUUGCAUACAGCCAUCUCUACCGGCAAGGAGGAGGGGGGGGGGGAGGAAAUGACGCCGGCCUUCUGUCCUCCUCGUCUAGAUCCACGUCGGCCAAGGACGAAUCGAAGAAGAUGGCGCCGCCGCCGUGGUCGCGUGUAUAGAAUUAGGGAUUUCCUUCUUUGAUUUGGGAAUUGAGGGAACUGACCAUAUACAUGGAGAACAAGGGCUUUUUUGCGACUUUAAACUAAACUGCAGGGGGGUUUCCGUAAAAGAAUCAGCAUUACAUCACCACGACGCGCCACCAGCCACUGACAUGUGGGCCACGACAAUCUGACAUGCCACUUGUGCGCUACAUACGGUUGAAUACGCGAGGAGGCACUGUUUUGAACGAAGGGACAAGUUCCGGCACCGAUUUUGCGUAUUUUGCAAUUUUAGGAACCAAAAUGACCGCGUCGGACAAGUUAAGGCACUCACAGUGUAUUUAUCUCUAUAGUACAAGAGAAGUGACCCACGUUCCAAGAUUUGUAAUAGUACUACUACUGAAUUGUAAUUUUCAGGCAAGACAUUGUGUUGAUAGAGCAUGCCGUGAUUUAUUCUGAAUUUCUGGUCUGCAUUUCUCCAAUCAGUGGUGUUGUUCGCCCCUGAUUGCAAGGUCGCACCUCUUGAGCCUGGUCCAACCGUUUGGGGCUGCAUAUCCUAGUGCGGUGACGUGACUGACAGACAAUUUUUCUCCCUAGCCUAUUAGCUUGCGACCACCACGAAAAGGACUAGGAACUGGCUCUUGUCCCUAGGCGAGUCAGGCUGCCUGGCCAACCGAUCCGAGUAUAUCUCUUUCUCGACCAUCAGAAUGGUCAAAACCACGGGAGCAGGCGGCGGUGCCCGGCUCCAACCGCUUCCCCGGCGGCGCCGCCGCCUCGUUCAGUCGUGGUACAGCGACACAGUCGUCUCCUCGCCGGCAUGUAAAACGCCUCCAAGUACCCUGCCCGCUGUUUCCAAGUGCCUACCGCGCACGGGAUAAGCGUAAAGUCUGUGUGCUCUUCAAGUCCGAACAAUCUAUUUAUUGCGGACAGCGAUUCUUCCAAUCCAGAAUCCGUAUACACUAUUUUAUUUUCCAACAACCGGUUCUCUGAAAUCUGACCAAUCUAUUUAUUGUGAACAGCGCGGCUGUGAAAGCGUGGCCUUGCUUGCUAAAUUUGUUUGUGCAAAAAUGCAUCUUGUCUGGCACAGUAUUUUAUUUCCCUCCAACCCGUUUUCUCUUUCUGAAACCUGACCAAUCUGUUUAUUGUGAACAGCGAGGCCAUGAAAGCGUGGCCUUGCUUGCUGAAUUAGUUUGCGCAAAAUAGAUACCCCGUGAGUGCAAAAUAAUGGUGGUGCAAAAAUUUGUGCGCCGUCCAUUCGAGUCUGACAUGCUAACAAGAUAACUAUCGUUUGCUUGCGGUUGGAAACUCGGAAAUCUUCUUCUAGAAAAGUAGUGGUUCCUGUCUCGUUGACAAGGACACGCACCGUGUAGACAAUAAUGAUUCUGAACUGGAACUGGAACUGCAAGAAACGUCAAGCAGCCAAUCGCGAAUCUGGACGAUCGUCCAGGACGCCAAGGUAUACUGUGCUUCGAUUCCCUAGUCCAAAGGAAGUAAUUGUUUUAGAUCUAAUUGUGACCUCGCAGCUAAAACAUGUCUACAGUGUUAAUAAAACAAUUUUAAACUCAUUUUAGCUGUGAAGCAGGUUGGGCUACCGUCCUUUUUUCGGCGCUAACCUUUGUCUUUUCACUUAAUUCACGAAUAGACUAUUAACCGUCAUAGUACUCGCUGAAAUGACACAGUGGGUCGUACUGCAGUAGUGCUAGUAGAUUCUAAACGGGGCGAUCUUAUCAAAGGCGAGGCGACGAGACGUAUUUGGCCGUUCCAUUCGCGAGACGUCGCUCGCAAGACGCUCAGCUGCCUCAGCGACAGCAGCACCGGGCGAUAAUAUCUUGCAGGCCCCCGACGGACGCAGAUGGCUUGGCUCCGUUCCGUUCAGGUUCGGCGGCGAAAAGAUAAGUCUUUACGUCCUUGUCGUGCCACUUUUCAAAGCGACCAAAGCCCAAAAGCACGUUAGAUAGAUAGAAGGUUUGUUUAGUCUCCAUUACAAUUAUUUAUUCAGUGGCCACCGCCCGAGUGACCGUGUCUUCGUAAACACUCCGCCUUGCCUAUUUAGCUCGUCACUAAGGUGGUUGCAGAUCUCUAAACCGUGUCGGAGGACUAGUGAGCGGUGGCUUGUGCCGUUUGCCGUGCGUGGACUCGUGGCGCCGGAAUUUGGAGAAAUGGGCGUGAGCGUCCCGGCCAGCGAGCCGAAGCACCCGCGGCACCAUCAAGAAGGGUGCGAGGCCGAGGCCGAGGCCGAAGCGCUCGCCGCCCUGUACCUGUACGGGGACGUGCUCGAGUCGGUGGUGGAGCGCGUGCCGGCGCCCGACCUCGCCGCCGCGGCGCGGGUCUCGCGCGAGUGGCUCCGCGCGGUGCGGUCCGCGCUGCGCCGGCGCCCGCGUCGCCUGCCCUGGCUCGUGGUCCACAUGCACGGCCGCCGCCGCCGGACCGCGGCCUACGACCCGCACUCCGGCGCGUGGAUCACCGUGCAGGCCCCGCGCCACGCCACGCCGUCGCACGUGCGCCUCGUGCGCGGCGCGCGCGGCGACCGGGUGUGCGCGCUUUCCUGCUCCGGCCUCGACGUCGCCGGCGACCCUCUUGGGACGUCCGCCUGCGUCGCCAUGAAGGCCCCCGGCGUGUGGCGCGUCGACCCGGUGCUGGCCGCGGUGGGCGACCGCGUGGUCGCCCUCGGCGGCGCGUGCCAGCUUGCGCUCGCCGAGGGAGAGGACGCCGCCGCGGUGGAGGUCCACGAAGGCGGGCACUGGACGGCCUGCGAUCCGAUGCCGGCGGAGCUCCGCGAGUCCGCCGCGGCAACGUGGCUUUCGGUGGCCGCCACGGAUCAGAGAGUGUACCUCGCGGACAGAAGCACGGGCUGUGCGAGCUGGUUCGAUCCGUCGAAGCGGCGGUGGGGUCCCAGCCGUCGCCUCGAGCCCGACGCCGGCGUUUCCACGUGGGGCGUCGCGCCUGGCCGCGCCGGCGCCGAGCAGCUCGUCCUGUUCGGAGCGAAGCGCCAAGGCGAGGGAGCAAAGAACAAGGUCGUCAUCCAAGCAUGGGGAGGUGGACGGCGACACUCUGGAUCUGUCCCCCGGCGCGGCCCACGACGCAAUGCCGAGCGAGAUGUCGGCGAGGCUUUUCCCCCACGACGAGGACGAGGAGGACGACGGGGAGACGCUCCCGUCGAUCGGGGUGUGCGGCAACGCCACCGGAGGGUACGUGUACAAUUCGGCGGAGCCAGCCAACGGCGCCGUGCUCUACGAGCUGCGGGGUGGGAAGAAGGACGGCGCCGUGGAGCGGUGGGAGUGGGUGCCGUGCGCGCCCUCGGUGCGCGCCGAGCCGCUGGGCCGCGUCAUCCUCGCGUGCUCGCCGGUGGGGCUGGACGAGCUAUCGCGUGGACUACCACUUACGAAUGCACAGUGAAAUACUGUACUGUACCUUCUUUAGGGUCGCAGUGAAUACACUGAAUCGAUCAAAGAGCGUUGCAAAUUCGCAGUCACAUCGUUUAUGAGGAAGGGUACAUCUCCAUUUAAAGGCUCCUUAAACCAAUCAGAAAUCAAGGAAAUCUAGCCAACCUAGCAGUGCGGAGUAUAAUACUUGCCGACACUCGCUUUUUGAGUAUCGUAUGGCCCGUUGCGUCUGGGCAUUAAGUGAUGAAGAGGUUCUUGUGGAGGUUCUUGUGGCUAUUCGGGUUGUUUGAGACUUUGAAUCAGUAUGACAUAGCAAGAGUAUCACCACGUGGGUCAUUUGGUGGACCAGAAGACGAGCUAUACAUGAUAAUGCAUUCCACACCCUAGUGUCAACCAUGUGCCUCAUCACUAGAUUUUUGCAUGACUUGGAGAUAGCAUAUGAGAGGAAGAAUGUCUCGGCUAAUUCAGUGUCCAUUCCACGCCAAAUUCGUUAUAUAUUCUUCCGGACGUUUUGACCAUCCUAUCACGAGUUUUUUCUUUAUUUUUGUUUGAGACUGUUUCUUUUCUUGACAAAUCUAGAUCUUCAUGUCGUCAUCAAGCUUGUCCAAGGACAAGUUUUUCGAGAAUGUCAUCAAUCCCUACCUUCCGGAGGUGAUGAAGCACCCUCAAACCAUGAAGUUGCGAGAGGGGGUGCUUCAUAUCCGGGGCGUUCAAGGACCAAAGAAGGAAGGAAGCGAGAAAGCCAGGCUUGAAGCGGUGGACCAUGAAAUCUUCAAGUGUCAAGGGAUGGUGGAAAGCGGACUCAGUGCCAAUCACUCCAUGUUCACGAAUUUUGUUCAUGAGAACAAGAGGGACAACAAGGAUAUUGGAGGGGCCAUCUUCAAGCUUCAUGACCGGAUUGGUCAUCUCCAAUCACAAAUCUAUGACCUGUACAACCAAAAUUCUGAGUAUGAACCCAGACUUACAAGGAUGAGCCUAGAUGCAGAUUUCAGGAUUCGGGAGACCCCUUCUUCUUUCUUUGAGGGGGAGCACAUGCCUUGGAAGACAGAGUACAAGCCUACCAUUUCAUCACCAACAUCACCGAAGAAAGACACUUGAGUAGACAGGUGUGGGCACCAUCUUCCAAGCUUGGGGGAGGUGCCCCGGUAUCGUAUCACCAUCACUUUUAUCAUCAUUAUCUCUUAGUUUGAUCCUUGGUUAUUUCGUGAUUUAGAAGAAAAAAGUUUUUAGUAUGAUUUAGUUUCGAGUGCUUGCUUUGUGAUAUGUCUUUCUAUGUAAUCAAGUGCGGGAGUUAUAUAAUAAAAAUUAGUUUGAGUUUUGAUUAUUUACUUUCUUGUCCCAAUCUUAACAAUGAAAAAAGGGGGGGGAGAUCAUAUGCUAAUCAAAUGGGGUGCAAUUGUUAGAGCACAUUUUCCCCUAAGUGGGCUUGGUGAUUGAUGAGAGUGCCCUUUGUGGGCUAACCGUGUGCAUUUAGAUAGAGAGAUUAUCACGUGGCACAUGAUGGUUUAUUUCCCCUUGGUGUUUAAAUGAGAAGACAAUUUCUUUCCAACUAUUUCAUUUUGGUGGUUCUGAGUCGCAGGUAAUCCAUACUAUCAAGAGGGGGUUCACAUUUGGAAAGGCUUGUACGGAAUCAAUGCGUACACAUUUGCACCCUUUUUCCAUCCCGGCACUUUGGAGCUACUGUUUUCUGAGGAUUUUCCAGAAGCACUUAAGCGAAAGUACCGCGUUGGAGAGCGGUAGUACCGCUCGAGUGGUAGUGCCGCCCUCCGGUGCUGAGGGCACUACCGCUUAUAGUUUGGUUUUGGUGUUCUCACAAUUGUUGAGCGAUAGUAUAGAGUGGUAGUAUUGCUCGCACGAUACCGCGGCUCUGUCCACUACUUCACUCCUUCAGAAGCAUUGAACAUCAAGGCUUUAAGCGAAAAUACCACUACUGCUGAGCGGUAGUACCGCUCAGGCAACACUACCGCCCUGCGCAUCCGUGCCUACUACCGCUUAUAAUUUUCUUGUGGUAUCCUUUGCCACUCGAGCGGAAGUGGAGCGGUAGUACCGCAGGAUGCAGUACUAAUGUCCUACCAAUCUCCACUACCACUGGUUCCCCUCUUCAUGCGGCGCCAAGUGGAACUACCGCUCGUGCGGCACUACCACGUCCCUGACUUGUGUCAGUAGCACACUGAGCCCAGAACUACCGCGUCCGACGGUAGUAUCACUCCCCUGAACGGUACUACCGCUUAUGUGCGACUUGUGGGCAGAAAAUGGUCAGAUUUUUCCCACCACUAUACAAGGGGGUCUUCUUCCCCAACUUGACCUAUCUCUUUCCCCCAAGACCCAUUAUUGCUCUUAAGAUCAUUUUUGCCCGAUCUCCCUCCCUAGCCAUCGAGUCUUGUUGAUCUCUAGGGUUUGGAAGAGAAGCCCUCGAUCUACACUCCACCAAGAGAAAUUUGAUUCCCCCACUAAUCCCUUGCGGAUCUUGUUACUCUUGGGUGUUUGAGCACCCUAGAUGGAAGAGGUCACUUCGAAGCCACAAUCCAUUAUGGUGCAGCUUCAUGGUGGUGUUGGGAGCGUCCAAUUAAGCUGUGGAGACGGCCCCAACAUUGUUUGUAAAGGUUCGGUCGCCACCUUCAAGGGCACCACUAGUGGAAUCACGCUACCUCGCAUUGUGUGAGGGUGUGAGGAGAAUAUGGUGGCCCUAGUGGCUUCUGAGGGAGCAUUCUGCCUCCACACCGCUUCAACGGAGACAUACUUCCCCUCAAAGGGAAGGAACUCGGGUAACACAUCCUCGUCUUCAUCGGUUCCACUUGUGGUUACUUCUUAUCUUUACUUUGUGCAAGCUAUAUUUGUGGUGUAUCCUUUUCUUGUUUGUGUUGUUGUUGAUGUUGUUGUUGUUUCUAGCAUCAUAUAGGUUGUUCACCUAGUUACAUAUCUAGACAACCUAUUUGUUGCUAAACCUAAUUUGUUAAGAAAAGCUAAAAAUUGUAGUUGCCUAUUCACCCCCCCUCUAUUCAACCAUAUCAAUCCAUUCAUUUGGUAUUAGAGCUAUGUCUCUUCUAAAGGCUUAAUCGCCCAAAGUGUAUGGUUGACGACAAGACUAGGGAAGGAGAUAACUUUGUGGUCGCGUCCGAGACCAUGGUAACCCAUGAUGAUUUGAAUGAGGUCAUUGAUGGGGUUGUACAUUAGGGGUAGGCCCACGGACCUGCAUCCCAGGGCCCACCUAAGAACCCACAUGGACAUCAAUAUCCCCAAAGCUACUAGUGCAGUCACGGUCUCACUCGGGAAUACAGGUUAUCACUCGGUUUGCACAAGGCCAGUCGGUUCAUCUUCUGUCAGUCGAACAUGCCCCGACACUUGGACUAUGACAAGGCGUGGACGAGAAGAGACUGUAACGGCCACAGACUUAAACUACCACAUGAAGUGCAGUGAAGAUGUGCGUUACUAGUAACGCCGAAGUUAGAGCUACUGUUACUAGUAACUUCCAUAGUUAUUAGCGUUAACUCACCCUUGUAAUGGCGCUCGGCCGGUCAUGGCACACUCUAUAUAAGCCGCACCAGAGCUCCUUGGCGAGGGUUGAUCAUUCUGUAAUCUCACCCCCCCUAAGCAAACACUAGCCUUCGGUCUCGAGGAGUAGGGUCGUUACCACUCCCGAGUGGGGCCCGAACUCGUAAAUCCGAGCGUAUCCACUGCGCCAUAUCUAGGCUCCGCCCCUCAUUCGUACCCCUCGUAUUAUUGUCACGAUCAUUCCCAUGAUAGUUGGCGCCCGCCGUGGGGCUACGCGUUUAGCAAAUACGACAGAGUUGGAGUUUCCAUCCUUUUCGUCAUCAUGAUGACACUCGAUGGAGAUAUCCUCUUCGGUUCCCUGAGCUUCAUCAUCGAAGACUCAGCAUGGCUGCAGGAUGCGCCACUGGACACCGAUGCCCUUCCUGCUCGAGGUACGUCGCACUUCACCGUGGUUGCGCACGGGGUCCUAAUUCGACAGCCACCGGUACCAUAUCACUCGGUGCCCCCACGUCCUGCUGCGGUUCGUCGCAAGCGCUCCAGCUAUCACGACUGCAACGGUGGAUCAAACAUGCGGUGGACCAUCAGGCCACGUCAGGGCACGUGGCGAUGCUCGAUUCGAAUGAGCCCAUCGUCAGCCUCUUCCCUUCGUCGAGCGACAUAUCAUUUGAUGAUUCCGGCUGCGAAAGCAGCGGAGACGCUGCAGAGAUCUUGAUGGGUGAUACGGCCAGGGGAUGAGCCCCUGGUUUUGCCGUGGAGAACUCUCAUGGACACGAUGGCGGCGAGCAUCGUCAUGGCGAUGACAACCAUCAUGUCCCACAGCCGCUCGCGGAACAGCAGCGGGAGGAACUUCGGCGGAGGAGCGAUCAAGCUUUUCGUACUCCCAUCACCGGGAACACCCGGAGGAAAUAGCACUGGAGAACGCGCACUAGGACACUCUCGCCGAGUGCGAGCAACUCAAGCCGCUCCAGCAAUCACUCGUCGCCCGAGCCGAAAGGGACCAGCUAAGUUCCAGUCGCCACCGGCGGUAGUUGUUUCUGAACGAGUGGCAACGUAACAUCGAGGUGAUGUGGACACCUUUGCAGAACCUGACCGUGGCCACUCGGAUCGUCGAUUCCAUUCAACCGAGUGAUUUUGCAACCGAGGAAGGCAUUCAGCAGAUCCAGACUCUGCUGAAGACUGCCUUGUAGCAAAACUCUGCGGUAUCGCAAUCGCGAUAUCGUAUCCACAGUAGGUCCUUCCAAGCAUACACUAUGCAGUCGGCUCAUAGCCCUCAUGCACCCGGAAGACGCCGAAGAUCUCCUCCUCCUCCGAGAGGCCCGCACGGGGAUCAGAGGCAUGAUUAUCGGGUUCGUAGCAGGACACCUCCUCCGAGGAGUGGUUCACUCGGACACCGACCCCAUGACCACAAGGUAAGCCACAAUCGACAUAGGGGUUAUGGAGACGACGACUACCAAGCUCCCUAGGUAAGCGUGAGGUCCAUAAUCACGUAGAACGUGGUUGACUGAUCGCAAGCAGGCGAGGGAGUAUCUGGCAUCGAGUGCUUCGGCACAGACAUCCACAAAGCAAAGAUCCCCUCCAGCUAUGAAUUGGCUACGAGGAUCGUUAAGCUCAAUGGUGAGUCCAAGCCGAAAACUUGGCUCGAAAAUUACCGAUUGGCCGUCCAGAUAGGCGGUGGCGACGACUUCGUCGCGAUGAAGCGCCUGCCCCUCAUGUUGGAGGGUUCGUCAAGGGCGUGGCUCAAUUAGCUUCCCUCUAGUAGCAUCCACAACCGGGGAGACCUCGCUCGAGUGUUCAUCAAAACAUUAGAAGCACCUACAAGCCCCGGGGUGGCUUGAGGGAGCUACAACACUGCGUCGAGAAGAGCAACGAGACUCUCAGAGAGUACAUCCAAUGAUUGUCCAUGUUGCAUAACACCGUGGAGAACGUCAUCGAGCAUCAGGCCGUGUGCACCUUCAAGGCAUACACUCGGUACCGGGAGCUCAUCCUCAAGUUUGGUCGAUCGAAGUAUCUGUCCCUCAGUCUGUCAAUGGAGAUCGCCAAUCGGUACGCGAAUGGUGAAGAGGAAGACCGCCUCCGUAGCGGCAAAGGCCGAGCCAGCGAUUCCCGGCAACCAGGCAACACGGGGAAACAGUAGAAGGGAAAGGGCAACCCACAGGCGAAGCCGAAGUAGCCGAUGUUCCAAGGAAAGGCCAAAACAAACGCAAAUAGAAGAAGAAGAAAGAUUGGGCAGGCAAAAACAAAACCGAGUCCAAGAGCAACCUCUUGGACCAACCCUGGACGAUCCACGCCAAGAAGGAUGAUGGUGGGGAGAUCAUCCCCGCCAGACACACGACUCAACACUCUCGCCUGCUCCGGCAGGAGAUGGGCGGAGAACCCUCCGGGGAUAAGGACGAUGAGGACAAUCAGGAGGCUACCCCCAGGUACUCGAAUAUCGAGAAGGUCCUCUUGAUCUUUGCUGACGUCGAGACUAAGAGCCGAUUGAAAGUCAUCAAUCGGGAGGUAAACAUGGCAGUUUCGACUAUAACAAAGUACCUCGAUUGGGAAAAGACGCCUGUCACAUUCGAUUAGUCGGACCACCCAGCUCACGUUGCCACCCCUGGGAGGUAGGCGCUGGUUGUCGAGCCAGCUAUCAAUGGAGUCGGACUACAGAGGGUCCUCAUGGACGGUAGCAGCAGCCUCAGCAUCAUCUACAUCGACACACUGAAGGCCAUGGACAUCCCGUUGUCCCAGCUGAGCAAGAGGAACAUGCAGUUCCACGGGGUCAUCCCCGGGAAAAAGGCCGAGUCAGUCGGUCUGAUCACCCUGAAUGUUGUAUUUGGUGGUGAAAAUAAUUAUAGGAAGCAGAGACUGACCUUCGAGGUGGUCGACUUCCGAAGUGCUUAUCACGCCAUCUUGGGUAGGCCUACCUACACACGUUUCAUGGCCUGUCCAUGCUAUGUGUAUCUUAAACUUAAGAUGCCAGGGCCGAAAGGCAUAAUCACGAUGACCGGUAAUCGGAAGAUCACCGAGGAGUGCCUCGACUAGAGCUCCAAGAUCACUAAUGAACAAGUCCUUGCGUCCGAGCUCGAGGGAUACAAGAAGUAGGUCGACACUUCCGACUUGCUCAAGUCGAAGUGGUCGGCUACUGAGUCUGCCUUUUAGUCGGUCGGUGAGACCAAGCACGUUCACAUCCACCCCACUGAUCCGAGUGCCUCUGGGACAAACAUAUCCACUUCACUCGGUGACAAAUAGGAAGUCGAGCUCAUCCAGUUCAUUCGUGAAAACUGGGACAUCUUCGCAUGGAAGCCAUCUGACAUGUCAGGUGUUCCCAUGAAGCUGGCUGAGCACCACCUCCGAGUGGACUCCAAGGUCAAGCCCGUCAAGGAACACUUGUGCCGCUACUCCAUGGAGAAGCGCAAGGCGAUUGGUGAGGAGAUCACUCGGCUCCUAGCUGUCGAGUUCAUCCACAAGGUUUACCACUCCGGGUGGCUUGCGAACGUGGUCAUGGUUCCCAAGAAGAACAAUUCACUCCGAAUGUGUAUUGACCUCAAGCACCUCAAUCGGGCGUGCCCGAAGGCAUAGAUCAGAUUGUAUAUUCUACUGUUGGAUGUGAACGCAUGUUGUUCCUGGAUGCGUACACCGGGUACCACCAGAUUCGAAUGUAUGGACCCGAUGAAAUAAAAACGGCCGUCAUCACCCCCAUUCGGGUGUUUUUGCUACAUCACAAUGCCAUUCGGCCUAAAAAAUGUUCGGGCUAGUUUCCUACAUACGAUCCAUAAGUGUGUGCAGGAACAGAUCACUCGGAAUAUCGAAGCAUACAUGAAUGACAUCAUGGUCAAGUCGAGGAAAGGUUUCGACCUCUUGACCGACCUUGUGGAAACCUUUGCGAACCUCUGGCGCUUCGGAUCAAACUUAACCCGGCCAAGUGGACCUUCGGUAUGACAGCGGGCAAACUACUCGGUUUCCUUGUUUCCGAAAGAGGCAUCGAUGCCAACCCCGAUAAAAUCAGCGCCACAGUCCAAAUGAGACGACCAGAGCGCAUCCAUGAUGUGCAGAGGCUUUCAUGUUGCCUUGCGGCUCUAAGCCGCUUCAUCUCAAGACUCAGUGAGAAGGCACCGCCUCUUUACCGAUUGAUGAAAAAAUCUGACAAGUUCGAGUGGACCAACAAAGCGCAAAUCGAAUUAGAUGAACUCAAGGCAUUGCUUUCCACCCAGCCGGUGUUAGUUACUUUGGGUAGCCUAGAGCCCUUGCUCGUGUACAUCGCUGCCACUAGCGAAGUGGUUAGCACCGUUCUCACCGUGGAGUGCGAGGAAGAAGGCACAUCAUACAAGGUACAAAGGCCCAUCUAUUACAUCUCAGAAGUAUUGACUCCCUCCAAGAAAAGGUACCCGCAUUACCAAAAACUGGUUUAUGGUAUCUAUGUGACCGUGAAGAAGGUGGUCCAUUACUUCCAAGAUCAGUCUGUCACAGUCAUCAGUGAUGCCCCCUUGUCGGAAAUCCUGCACAACGGAGACACCACUGGCCGAGUGGCUAAAUGGGCGAUUGAGCUCCUCCCGCUCGAGAUCAAGUUUGAAGCCAAAAAAGCGAUCAAGUCUUAGGCCGCGGUGGACUUCCUGGCUGAAUGGAUAGAACAAGAGCAGUGGGCUCCUAGUGUCCCCAAGCAUUGGACUAUGUUCUUUGAUGGGUCCAAGAUGCUCCAUGGCUCGGGGGCUGGAGUAGUUCUCGUUUCCCCUAGGGGAGACUGACUGAACAGUGUGAUCCAAAUCCAGUCCGACUCAUCUAACAAUGAGGCCGAGUACGAAGCCCUCCUGUACGGGAUCCGUAUGGCCAUCUCACUCAUCAUUCGAUGUUUGACGGUCUACAGCGACUCGAUCUCGUUGACAAUUAUGUGAUGAAGGAAUAUGACAUUCGGAGCCUGGCCAUGAUAGCUUAUCGCAACUAGUUAGGAAGCUUGAUAAGAACUUUGAAGGGUUGGAAUUGCAGCAUGUGCCCUUAGCCAAGAAUCAGCCGGCUGGCGACUUGGCCAAGAUCGGAUCCACUCGAAGAGUCGUUCCAAAAGGCGUGUUCCUUGAACACCUACGUGCCCCUCAGUUAAAGAGGACCCUUUUAUAGAGGAGCCCCCAUAGGUAGUCGGUCCUUCAAAUUCGACUGAAAUUGAUGUCCCGGCCAUGGUCGACCUUGUCCAUGAGAUGUUGGUCAUCACGCCCGAAUGGACUCAGCCUUAUGUGGCUUACUUGCUUUGGAAAGAACUCCCUCAAGAUGAAGAGGAAGCCCGCCGAAUCGUUCGGCGGUCUAAAUCUUUCGAAGUUUUGGGAGACAAAUUAUACAAGAAAAGUGUUACAUGAAUCAUUCAGAAGUGUAUUUCCCCAGGGGUAGGAUUGAAAAUCUUGCAUGAGAUUCACUCGGGAACCUGCGGCCAUCAUGAGUCUUCUCGGACUCUCGUGUCCAAGGCCUUCCGAGCAGUUUUUUAUUGGCGCUAAGCAAAUGAGGCAGCAAGAGACGUGGUCGAGCUAUGCGUCGGAUGCUAAUUUUACAAAAAUCAGUCACACAAGCCUGCAUCCGCGUUAAGGAUGAUUCCUCUCAGCUCGCCGUUUGCUGUGUGGGGUCUCGACAUGGUCGGCCCUUUACGGACUAGGUCGAAUGGAUUCACCCACUUGCUAGUAGCGGUGGAUAAGUUCACCAAGUGGGUCAAGGCGAAGCCCAAUAAAAGCCUGGAUUCAACGAGUGCCAUCAGCUUCAUUCGGCAAAUUAUCUUCAGAUUCGGAGUUCCUCAUGAUACCAUCACCGACAAUGGAUCCAAUUUUGACUCACACGAGUUCCGCGAGUUCUGCCAUUUCCAGGCACUCGGGUCAAUUACGCCUUCGUGGCUCAGCCGUAGUCGAAUGGACAUGCAGAGCGAGUGAACCGUAUGAUACAACAAGGAUUGAAGCCCCGAAUGAUGAGAGAUCUCAAGUACGCCGCAGGCGCAUGGGUAGGAGAAUUGUCGUCUGUCUUGUGGGGUAUGCAGAGGACUCUGAAUCGUUUGACCAGGCGUAUACCUUUCUUCAUGGUGUAUGGAUCUAAAGUUGUUCUGUCGAGUGACUUACGUCACAACUCCCCCGAGUGGAGCAAUACAAUGAAGCUGAAGCCGAAGCAGCAUGAUAAGACAAGCUGGAUAUCUUGGAAGAAGAGAGAGAACUAGCCCUCAUUCGGUCAACACUAUAUCAUCAAGACCUGAGGCGCUACCAUGAUAAAAAAGUCAGAGGGCGAGCCUUCCAGGAGGGUGACCUGGUCCUCUGACUGGACCAGGAAAAGCCUCACAAGCUGGCACCUCCGUGGUAAGGUCCCUUUGCAGCAUCCAAGGUCCUACACGAUGGAGCUUAUCGGCUUUACCACUUAAAACGAGAUGGAAGAGCCAUGAACCUGGAACGCGGACCUGAUCCACAAGUUCCAUACAUAGAAUAUGUAUCUUUGUUCCUAUAACAACUCCAAAUGAUUUGAGAAUAAAGUGUUUCCCUUCCUCACCUUUUUGUCAAGCUUCUCACUCGGGUGAAACAUCUCACUCAAAAACCUGCCCCAAGUGAGGACAACCUCCAUGCUCGGGGGCUUAGUAGCAAACCUGCUUUCGCCUAAGUACAAACAGUUCCAAGUGUGGGCACUACCCACGCUCAGACACCGCGAUGGACAGGACCAUCACUCAGUCCACAAGGACUACUUCCACGUCUUGGUUGUGAAUCAUAAUUUUCCUAAAGAAAAAACCGACCUCGAACAAGGACAACCUCCAUGCUUGGGGGCUUAGCAGAAAACCCGCUUUCUCCUAAGAUGAAACGGUUCCGUGUGAGGACAUGAUAUUCACUCUGCUGCCACGAUGAACAGGACAAUCCACCCCUUAGCUGCGAACCUUGUUUUUGCCUAAGACCAAACCUGCUCCGAGUGAGGAAAACCUCCACGUUCGGGGGCUUAGCAGCGAACCUGCUUUCGGCGAAGUACAAAUGGUUACCGAGUGCAGGCACCACCCAUGCUCAGACACCGCGAUGGAUAGGACCAUCACUCRGUCUCCAAGGACUACUUCCACAUCUUGGUCGCGAAUCAUAAUUAUCCUAAGAUAAAACCGACCAUGAAUGAGGACAACCUCCACGCUCGGGGGCUUAGCAGCGAACCCGCUUUCGCCUAAGUUCAACCGGUUUCGUGUGAGGACAUGAUCUUCGCUCGACUGCCAAGAUGAACAAGACAAUCGUCCCUUAGGUGCGAACCUGUUUUUUCCUAAGUCCAAUCCUGCCCCGAGUGAGGACAACCUCCAUGCUCGGGGACUUAGCGGCGGACGAGUUUUCACCUAAGUACAAACGGUUCCGAGUGAGGACAAGACCUUCACUCGACUACCAAGGUGAACAUGACAAUCGUCCCUUAGUUGUGAACCUGUUUUCGCCUAAGUCCAAACCUUCCCCGAGUGAGGACAACAUCCAUGCCCGGGGACUCGGUUGCGAACCUGCUUUCGCCCGAAUGGAAACGACUCCGAAUGGGGAGAUAACCCACACUCGAACUUCACGAUGGAUAAAUCUAUCAAAAGGUCGAAAAUCCAAAUUCCGAUGAUGACAAAUAAAAUCGCAUUCCGGUUCAAACAAAAGGUGCGCAUUGUUGGGGAACGUCGCAUGGGAAACAAAAAAUUUCCUACGCGCACGAAGACCUAUCAUGGUGAUGUCCAUCUACGAGAGGGGAUGAGUGAUCUACGUACCCUUGUAGAUCGUACAGCAGAAGCGUUAGUGAACGCGGUUGAUGUAGUGGAACGUCCUCACGUCCCUCGAUCCGCCCCGUGAACAAUCCCGCGAUCAGUCCCACGAUCUAGUACCGAACGGACGGCACCUCCGCGUUCAGCACACGUACAGCUCGACGAUGAUCUCGGCCUUCUUGAUCCAGCAAGAGAGACGGAGAGGUAGAAGAGUUCUCCGGCAGCGUGACGGCGCUCCGGAGGUUGGUGAUGACCUUGUCUCAGCAGGGCUCCGCCCAAGCUCCGCAGAAACGCGAUCUAGAGGAAAAACCGUGGAGGUAUGUGGUCGGGCUACCAUGGAAAAGUCGUUUCAAAUCAGCCCUAAAACCUCCGUAUAUAUAGGUGGGAGGGAGGGGACCUUGCCUUGGGGAUCAAGGAGCCCCAAGGGGGUCGGCCGAGUCCAAGGGGGAAGGCUCCCCCCCCAAACCGAGUUGGACUUGGUUUGGUGGUUGGGAGUCCUUCCUUCCCUUCCCACCUCCUCUUUUUUUUUUCUCUUUGAUUUUCUUCCCUAGGCGCAUAGGGCCCUUUUGGGCUGUCCCACCAGCCCACUAAGGGCUGGUGUGACACCCUCAAGGCCUAUGGGCUUCCCCGGGGUGGGUUGCCCCCCCCGGUGAACUCCCGGAACCCAUUCGUCAUUCCCGGUACAUUCCCGGUAACUCCGAAAACCUUACGGUAAUCAAAUGAGGUCAUCCUAUAUAUCAAUCUUCGUUUCCGGACCAUUCCGGAAACCCUCGUGACGUCCGUGAUCUGAUCCGGGACUCCGAACAACAUUCGGUAACCAACCAUAUAACUCAAAUACGCAUAAAACAAUGUCGAACCUUAAGUGUGCAGACCCUGCGGGUUCGAGAACUAUGUAGACAUGACCCGAGAGACUCCUCGGUCAAUAUCCAAUAGCGGGACCUGGAUGCCCAUAUUGGAUCCUACAUAUUCUACGAAGAUCUUAUCGUUUGAACCUCAGUGCCAAGGAUUCAUAUAAUCCCGUAUGUCAUUCCCUUUGUCCUUCGGUAUGUUACUUGCCCGAGAUUCGAUCGUCAGUAUCCGCAUACCUAUUUCAAUCUCGUUUACCGGCAAGUCUCUUUACUCGUUCCGUAAUACAAGAUCCCGCAACUUACACUAAGUCACAUUGCUUGCAAGGCUUGUGUGUGGUGUUGUAUUACCGAGUGGGCCCCGAGAUACCUCUCCGUCACACGGAGUGACAAAUCCCAGUCUUGAUCCAUACUAACUCAACUAACACCUUCGGAGAUACCUGUAGAGCAUCUUUAUAGUCACCCAGUUACGUUGCGACGUUUGAUACACAUAAAGCAUUCCUCCGGUGUCAGUGAGUUAUAUGAUCUCAUGGUCAUAGGAAUAAAUACUUGACACGCAGAAAACAGUAGCAACAAAAUGACACGAUCAACAUGCUACGUCUAUUAGUUUGGGUCUAUUCCAUCACGUGAUUCUCCUAAUGACGUGAUCCAGUUAUCAAGCAACAACACCUUGUUCAUAAUCAGAAGACACUGACUAUCUUUGAUCAACCGGCUAGCCAACUAGAGGCUUGCUAGGGACGGUGUUUUGUCUAUGUAUCCACACAUGUAAAUGAGUCUUCAUUCAAUACAAUUAUAGCAUGGAUAAUAAACGAUUAUCUUGAUACAGGAAUUAUAAUAAUAACUAUAUUUAUUAUUGCCUCUAGGGCAUAAUUCCAACACGCAUAAAGGGAGCCCAGGGCUCGAUCGAAGUUUGGAGGUUACAUUAACCACUCAGCAUUCCGAGGAGAAUUAAAACUUAAUGUUUUUCCUGAGCAUCACUCGAGGAUGAAGACUCCACCGCUUCCACAAAGGUGUUGAGGUCAAUCCCAUCGGCGAUCCGAGUGGCAGCCGCCAUGAACAUCUCCAUGAAGUGUUCGAACUUGGCGCUCUUCCUGUUGACGACCCUUAGGUCCUUCAGCUUCUCUUUGUACUCUCCUUUACAAUGGAUGUGGACGAGUGAUAGGGUGAUGUGGGCUCCGACCCGUGCCGUUGAUUUAUUCCAAGAUUGUAGUUGACCAGGGACUACCUUAAAUCGGUCCACAAUGGCUUGAGCGUACUUGGGUAGUUAUUCACUAGGAGUAACCUCUUGAGCGAUCUGUGAGACUGCCGAUUGGAGCCACUUGAAGAAGCCCAACAAGUAGUCGACACGAGCUUCCAGUGUGAGAAGGGCCAAAGCAGCACUGUCCUUCGAAAACCCUCGCUUUGGGUUCAGCUCCUUCUCGAUCCUCCCUGUCUCCUCAUCGACACCAAUACAGAAGGCUGGACGCAGACAAAAAACAAAGAAUGAGAAACAUCACUCGGAAAUCAUAAUGCAAUAGUGAGGGAUCAUUCACAUUCACAACAUACCUUUAUGUUUCUCGCUCAUCUUUGUGCUAUAGUCUUCAACAAACUGCUCCAAUUCGGCUCUCUUGGCGGUGACCUUCCCGAACUUGGUGUCCCACUCGUCAUAGUGCUUCUUUAGCUCAACAAGUUCUUCCAUAGAUUCCCCCCCCCCAACAACCUUCAAAACCCAGUUCUCCUCCUCAAGCUUCUCAACUGUCUUGAGCUUGGUUUCAGCCACCUUGGUUUUUUGAUUGGCCUCCCUCCAAGCCGACUCCAGUUCUUCAUCCCUCUUCUCAAGGGCGUCCUUCAUGGUAACUAAAUAAACAUAAUUCUUCAACCUCUCAGAAAGGAGAUCUGGUAAAAUAACCUCAGUCGGAUGGGGAGGAAGAUCAAACCACAAGACACUCGGAUAGCAAAGUUUUACCUUCGGCAGCAUGCUUCUCCUAUUCCACGCACUCGCUCUUGGCCUUUUCAGCACCAAGACAGAGAUGCAGGUCCUGCAACUCCCGUUCCAUAGUGUCAUUAAGACUCCCGAGCCGGCAGGCGGCCUGCCAUCAACAAACACAAAUUACGUGAAGUACAGAAAUGAUAACUCUAAGACUACUCCCGACUACUUCUGUCGACGACAGUCUCGGGGACUAAACCCUGUGGGUGCACUCAGUGCGCCCCCACUGGAAGGAUAAGAGGAGGGACAAAGGGCCUCGUACCCCAUCAACCUCUCUUGAGUCAAUGCAAGAACUAAGACUACCGCUGAAUCCUUGAGUCGACGACAGCCUCGAGGACUACACCUAGUGGGUGCGCUCAGCGCGCCCCCACUGAACGUGGACACCGGUGGGUGUGCACCGGAGCAAACCCACUCGGGAUUAGAAACAAAAAGUGUAUACAAAGGAAUUCACCCAAAUGUUUUUCGCCACAUCUUCGCUCGCAUCAUAUGCCUCCUUCAGUCACCCCACCAUCAACCCUACCUGAGCCAAGGCUUCCUUGCAUGCGCCUUCUUGGUCCUACGGGAUAUGGUGCAACUCGAAAAUAUUAUGGUCCAUGGGAGGAAGCGACGGAGUGGCAGAUGGACCAGUUUCGAGUGACGCCAAGCUGAGGUAGUCCCCUGAACAACGGGAGUCAAAACCUUGGCAACCGAGGGCUCAACCACUCGACUGGGAGUCACAUCUUGCUUCAGCGCUUUAUCAAUGACCGAAGGACUGGUAGGGUCAAGUUCGAUCAUGUCUAGCGGCCCUACACACGUCGACAUGCAUUCAAAGGAUCAUUUUGAGUCAAUGUAUCAAGUCCCAAAUGAAACACAAGUGAGCUCAAGAAUUACCUUUGGAGGAGGUGAUGUUGGCGUCGGCUUGUCCUUUAUCAGAAGUCUUAGGCUCCAGCAAAGUAGUUGAUGUAUUAGGCAUGUGAUGACCCACAACUGUAGGGGAUCUAUCAUAGUCCUUUCGAUAAGUAAGAGUGUCGAACCCAACGAAGAGUAGAAGGAAAUGUCAAGCGGUUUUCAGUAAUGUAUUAUGUGCAAGCACUGGAAUUAUCGGUAACAAAUAGUUUUGUGAUAAGGUAAUUCGUAACGGGUAGAAAGUAAAAAGUGUAACAAAGGUGAACCAAGGUGGCCAAUCCUUUUUGUAGCAAAGGACAAGACUAGACAAACUCUUGUAUAAAGCAAAGUGCUCUCGAGGACACAUGGGAAUUUCUGUCAAUCUAGUUUUCAUCAUGCUCAUAUGAUUCGCGAUCGUUACUUUGAUAAUUUGGUAUGUGGGUGGACCGGUGCUUGGGUGCUGCCCUUACUUGGACAAACAUAUCACUUAUGAUUAACCUCUCUCGCAAGCAUCCGCAACUACGAAAGAAGAAUUAAGAUAAAUCUAACCAUAGCAUGAAAUAUAUGGAUCCAAAUUAGCCCCUUACGAAGCAACGCAUAAACUAGGGUUUAACCUUCUGUCACUCUAGCAACCCAUCAUCUACUUAUUACUUCCCAAUGCCUUCCACUAGGCCCAAAUAAUGGUGAAGUGUCAUGUAGUUGACGUUCACAUGACACCACUAGAGGAGAGACAACAUACAUCUCAUCAAAAUAUCGAACGAAUACCAAAUUCACAUGAUUACUUAUAGCAAGACUUAUCCCAUGUCCUCAGGAACAAACAUAAUUACUCACAAAGCAUAUUCAUGUUCAUUAUAAGAGGAGUAUUAAUAAUCAUUAAGGAUCUGUACAUAUGAUCUUCCACCAAGCAAACAAACUAGCAUCAACUACAAAGAGUAAUUAAGACUACUAGCAACCCACAUGUACCAAUCUGAGGUUUGAAGACAAAGAUCGGAUACAAGAGAUGAACUAGGCUUUGAAGAGGAGAUGGUGCUGAUGAUGAUUCUGGUGGAGAUUGACCCCCUAUCAUUGAGGGGAUCAUUGGUGAUGAUGAUGGCUUCGAUUUCCCCCUCUCGGAGGGAAGUUUCCCCGGUAGAAUAGCUCCGCUGGAGCUCUAGAUUGGUUUUGCCGAAGUUCCGCCUCGAGACGGCAGGGCUUCAUCCAGAAAGUUCUGAUAUGAUUUUUUCCAAGUCAAAACCCUUCAUAUAGCAGAAGAUGGGCACCGGAGGCUGAUACGUCCCAAACAUAUCUAUAAUUUCUGUUUGUUCCAUGAUCUUUUGGGUGACAUUGUUAUAUGUUUUGCUACACUUUCAUAUAUUUUUACACAUAUUUGGACUAACCUACUAACUCAGUGCAUCCAGUCCUAGUUUCUGUCUGGUGAUGUGUUUUUUGCAGGGACUUUUACCCCAAUUUACAGAGUCCCAAAAUCUCGAGAAAAAUAUAUAAAAAUCAGCGUGACGGAAGCUUCCGAAGCACCAAAGGUGGGCCAGAGGGGAGCCAGGGCUUGCCCAGGCGGCCUCCCUGCACGUACUGCCCCCUGGACGCGCUCACAGGUCGCCUGGGUGGGGCCCACCUCCUCUGACGCCCUCCUUUGGCCUAUAUUUACCCCUCCAAUCAGAAGCCCUUCCAUUAUAUCCAGAAUCGUGAAUUUAUCCGUCAUUCCGCCGACGUGGCGCUUCCGAGAACGGGAGCAUCAGAAGACCUCUUCCCAGCACCCUGCCGGAGGGAGGAUGGACCUCCGGGAGCUUCUCCACCGCCAUGGAUGCUUCUCGGACGUGCCGUGAGUAGUCCUCCUUGGACCAUGAGUCCAUGACCAAUAGCUAUGUGAUGUCUUCUCUCCAAUCUUGUGCUUCAAUGUUUAGCCCUUGUGAGCUUCCCUACAUUAUCAAGGCAUCUAUGUAAUUUUCCUGCUAUUUCUAUGCUUGGUUUGCUGGGAUCCGAUGGAUUAUGAAAUUAUGUUCAGAUUGUGAUGAGUUAUAUAUUUGAUUAUCCUUUUAUAUUAUGUUCUUUAGUGAUUGAUGCAUGUUCUCAGUUGCUUUUUAUUGGUUUGGCCGAGUAGUAGAUUGUAACUCCAAGAGGGAGUGUUAUGCAUGAUUGUGGGUUCAUGCCCGCUGAUAUCUAGCUUGAGUGACGGAAACAUGAGACUCGGGGAUGUGCUCUUGCCACCAGGGAGAAAACAACGGUGCUUGUGACCGCGGUUGCAAGUAUUGUUUACCUUAUGCAAAGUUCGUUAAUGCAGUUGUCCGUUGCUUUGAGUUUACACUUUGGGAGGGGCUCGCAACUUAAUACCAACAAGAUGUUCUGGAUAGAUAUCUCAAGGUGGAUGAUUAGUAAGUAGAUGUUGAUGAAUAAAUGGUCUACUUGUCUUGGCAUACCGCCCAUUACUUUUGAGCCUCUAACUUUCUAGCAGCAUAAUUAGCAUUGCGGUGCGUUUAUAAUUCUGUCAAUUGCCCAGCUGUGAUUUGUUUACCCAUGCAUAGUUGUUUAUCGUCUUUUGGGAGAGAGACAUCACUAGUGACCAUCAUGUGACUUUGGUCCAUAUUACCACCAUUGCUUACACCUGCACCAUUUACUACUUUAUUUACUUUUCUGUUGCAAUCACUAUCACUAUUGCCGCUUGUGUUUUGAUCCUUUGCAAACUACAAGGCCGGAGAGAUUCACAACCUCUCUGUACUCGUUGGGAGCAAAGUUAUUUGUUGUGUGUGCAGGUCCACGUCUUCCGCUAGCGCCACAGCAGUGGACAACUACUUGUUGAUCCUCGGAGUCCUCCUGGUUCGAUAAACCUUACAAUCCCCGUAUAUGGGAAAUCUGUUGCUGACUACAUCUCCACCUUCCACUUGGGGUAACCAACGAGGGGCGAGAAGUCUAUCCAUCAAAUCAUCAUCAGAGGCCUGCUAGGGGGCCCACAAGCUUGCAGGGCGCGGCCCAGGGGGGGGGGGGGUAGGCCGCACCCCCUGGCUUGUGGUCACCUGGUGGGUCCCCCGAUGUAUUUCCUUUGCCAAAUAGUUUUUAUAUAUUCCAAAAUAAUUAUACGUAAGUUUUCAGGACUUUUGGAGUUGUGCAGAAUAGGUCUCUCAGAUUUGCUCCUUUUUCGGUCCACAAUUCCACCUGCCGGUAUUCUCCCUCUUCAUGUAAACCUUGUAAAAUAAGAGAGAAAAGGCAUAAGUAUUGUACCAUAAUGUGUAUUAACAGCCCAUAAUGCAACAAAUAUCGAUAUAAAAGCAUGAUGCAAAAUGGACGUAUCAGCAUGCAACAAAAAUAGCAAGGAAAUCAACCAUCACUCGGGGUACCCCGAUCGAUAAAAACAGACCACUCAGCAAGAAUACUUAUGCUGAUGCCACAUGCAUGCCAUCCUUCAUGCGCGACAGAAAAACCUUUUGAGGCUUGGAGGCCGUGGUCUUGGGCUUCUUGGCGGCCUUUUCCAGCGACACUCAGGAUCACUGUGACACCGUUUAGAACUGUGGGUCCGCAUGGCCGACACGGUCGGUUUUGUCACCCUCGGGGUCUUGGCACCCCCAGCACGAACUCCAGGGUCCUGGCGGUUGGAAAUAUGCCCUGGAGGCAAUAAUAAAAUGGUUAUUACCAUGUUUCCUUGUUCAUGAUAAUCGUCUAUUGUUCAUGCUAUAAUUGUAUUAACACGAAACAGUAAUACAUGUGUGAAUAAAUAGAUCACAACCUGUCCCUAGCGAGCCUCUAGUUGGCUAGCUCGUUGAUCAGUAGAUGAUCAUGGUUUCCUGAUCAUGGACAUUAGAUGUCAUUGAUAACGGGAUCACAUCAUUGGGAGAAUGAUGUGAUGGACAAGACCUAAUCCUAAGCAUAGCACUAGAUCGUGUUGUUCGUAUGCUAAAGCUUUUCUAAUGUCAAGUGUCUUUUCCUUCGACCGUGAGAUUGUGCAACUCCCGGAUACCGUAGGAGUGAUUUUUGUGUAUCAAACAUCACAACGUAACUGGGUGACUAUAAAGGUGCACUACGGGUAUCUCCGAAAGUGUCUGUUGGGUUGGUACGAAUCAAGAUCAGGAUUUGUCACUCCGUGUGAGGGAGAGGUAUCUCAGGGCCCACUCGAUAGAACAUCAUCAUAAUGAGCUCAGUGUGACUAAGUAGUUAGUCACGGAAUGAUGUGCUACGGAACGAGUAAAGAGACUUACAGAUAACGAGAUUGAACAAGGUAUAGGUAUACCGACGAUCGAAUCUCGGGCAAGUUCUAUACCGACAAACAAAGGGAAUUGUAUACGGGAUUGAUUGAAUCCUUGACAUCGUGGUUCAUCCGAUGAUAUCAUCGUGCAACAUGUGGGAGCCACCAUGGGUAUCCAUACUCUACUGAUGGUUAUUGGCCGGAGAGUGUCUCGGUCAUGUCUGCAUGAUUCCCGAACCCGUAGGGUCUACACACUUAAGGUUCAAUGAUGCUAGGCUUAUAGGGAAUUGGUAUACGAGGUUACCAAAGGUUGUUUGGAGUCCCGGAUGAGAUCCCGGACGUCACGAGGACCUCCGUAAUGGUCCGGAGGUAAAGAUUUAUAUAUAGGUUGGAUGGGUUUGGACGUCGGAAAUGUUUCGGGCGUCACAGGUAGCGCAGCGGGACCCACGGGACCACUAGAAAGGGUUCCGGAGGUCCACCAGGAGGGGCCACCAGCCCCAAAAGGUGACAUGGGCCAAAAGGUGGAAGGGAACCAACCCGGAGUGGGCUGGUGCGCCUCCCGCAAGGGGCCCAAGGCGCCUAGAGAGGGAAAGGGGGGAACCCUAAGUGAGGUGGGCCUAAGGCCCACAAGGGGUGCGCCACACCUCUCUCCCCCUCCUAGGCGCCACCCCCUCUCCCAUUGGGGUUGCCGCCCCCCUUUGGGGUGGUAAACCCUAAAGGGGGCGCCACCCUCCCUUCCCCCUAUAUAUAGCGGGGGUUUUUGGCCUUUGAGAACACGGUUUUUCCAUCUCUCUCGGCGCAGCCCUGUCUCUCUUCUUCCUCCUCUCCCACGGUGCUUGGCGAAGCCCUACCGGGAGACCUCGUCUCUCCAUCGACACCAUGCCGUUGUGCUGCUGGAGAUCUUCCCCAACCUCCCCCUCCUCCUUGCUGGAUCAAGUUGCGGGAGACGUCACCGGGAUGCACGUGUGCUGAACGCGGAGGUGCCGUGAUUCGGCACUAGAUCGGAACUGCGAUCUGAAUCACCGCGAGUACGACUCCAUCAACCACGUUCUAGCAACGCUUCCGCUUAGCGAUCUUCAAAGGUAUGAAGACGCACUCUCCCCUCUCUCGUUGCUGGUCUCUCCAUAGGAAGAUCUAAAUAUGGCGUAGGAAAAUUUUGAAUUUAUGCUACGUUACCUGAUACGUCUCCAACGUAUCUAUAAUUUUUGAUGAUUUCAUGCUAUUAUCCUCUCAAACUUUGGAUGUUUUGUAUGCCUUUUAUAUCUUUUUGGGACUAACUUAUUAACUCAGUGCCAAGUGCUACUUCCUAUUUUUCCCGUGUUUUUGACCCCUUUCAGAGGAGGAUUUUAAACGAAGUCCAAACGGAACGAAACUUCCAAAAAGAUUUUUUUUGAAACAGAAGAAGAUCGGGAAACUUGAGAACAAGGGCAGGGAGCCACCAGGGACCCCACAAGCCCCCUAGCCGCGGCCAGGGGGGCCCGCACCUCCCAGGCUUGUGGGCUCCCUGGGCCACCUCUGCCCUAGGUCUUUCGCCUAUAUAUUCCCAAUAAUUCUAGAAAAAAUCAGGAGAUCAUCGGAAGUACUUUUCCGCCGCCGCAAGCUUCUGUCUUUGCAAGAUCCCAUCUGGGCACGUUCUGGUGCCCUGCCGGAGGGGGGAGUCGGAUACGGAGGGUUUCUUCAUCAACACAAUGACCUCUCUGAUGAUGCGUGAGUAGUUCACCAUAGACCUACGGGUCCAUAGCUAGUAGCUAGAUGGCUUCUUCUCUCUCUUGGAUCUUCAAUACAAAGUUCUCCAUGAUCUUCAUGGAGAUCUAUCCGAUGUAAUCUUCUUUUGCGGUAUGUUUGUCGAGAUCCGAUGAAUUGUGGAUUUAUGAUCAGAUUAUCUAUGAAUCUUAUUUGAGUUUCUUUUGAUCUCUCUUAUGCAUGAUUUCAUAUCCUUGUAAUUCUCUUCGAGUUGUGGGUUUUGUUUGGCUAGCUUGAUCUAUGAUUCUUGCAAUGGGAGAAGUGCUUGGUUUUGGGUUCAUACCGUGCGAUGACCUCACCCAGUGACAUAAGGGGUAGCGAGGCAUGCAUCAUGUUGUUGCCAUCAAGGGUAAAAAGAUGGGGUUUUCAUCAUUGGUUUGAGUUUAUCCCUCUACAUCAUGUCAUCUUGCUUAAGGCGUUACUCUGUUCGUCAUGAACUCAAUACACUAGAUGCAUGCUGGAUAGCGGUCGAUGUGUGGAGUAAUAGUAGUAGAUGCAGAAAGUAUCGCUCUACUUGUCUCGGACGUGAUGCCUAUAUGUAUGAUCAUUGCCUUAGAUAUAGUCAUGACUUUGCACGGUUCUAUCAAUUGCUCGACAGUAAUUUGUUCACCCACCGUAAUAUUUUCUAUUUUGAGAGAAGCUUCUAGUGAACACUAUGGCCCCUGGGUCUACUUCACACCAUAUUUUCAGCCUUACACUUUUUCUUUGUUGCACUUUCUGCCUUCAGAUCUCACUUUGCAAUCAAUCUUGAAGGGAUUGACAACCCCUUUAUAGCGUUGGGUGCAAGCUCUUUUGUGUUUGUGCAGGUACUCUGGACUUGACGAGAUUUUCCUACUGGAUUGAUACCUUGGUUCUCAAACUGAGGGAAAUACUUACUGCUCCUGUGCUGCAUCGCCCUUUCCUCUUCAAGGGAAAAACCAAUGCAAGCUCAAGAGACGACAUAAGAUUUCUGUCGCCAUAGCAGAAGAAUUUCUAGCCCCGUUGCCGGGGAGGAUCAAGUCAAGAACUUAUCCAAGUAAGUGUGGCAAACUCAUCUCUUGCAUUUACCUUUUUUGCCUCUCGUUUUCCUCUCCCCCACUUCUGAAAAAUGAAUUACAAAAAAAUAUUUGCCUUUUUCGUUUGCCUUUUACGUUUGCCCUUUUCUCUCACUUGCUCUUUGUUCGCCUGUGUGCUUGCUUGCUUGCUGAAGUCACCAUGACUGAAAACACCAAACUUUGUGACUUCUCGAAUACUAAUAAUAGUGAUUUUAUUAGUACUCUGAUUUCUCCCGCCACUAGUGCGGAGUCAUACGAAAUCAAUGCCGCUUUGCUGAAUCUUGUUAUGAAAGAGCAAUUCUCCGGCCUUCCUAGUGAAGAUGCCGCAUCCCAUCUUAAUACCUUCAUUGAGUUUUGCGAUAUGCAAAAGAAGAAAGAUGUGGAUAAUGAUGUGAUUAAAUUGAAUCCUUUUCCUUUCUCGUUGCGAGAUCGAGCAAAAACUUGGUUUUCGUCUUUGCCCAAAAAUAGUAUUGAUUCUUGGAAUAAGUGCAAAGAUGCUUACAUAUCCAAGUAUUUUCUGCCGGCUAAGAUUAUCUCUCUCCGUAAUGAUAUUAUGAAUUUUAAGCAACUUGAUCAUGAACAUGUUGCACAAUCUUGGGAGAGAAUGAAAUUGAUGAUUAGAAAUUGUCCCGCUCAUGGCUUGAGUCUUUGGAUGAUUAUACAAAUCUUCUACGCUGGCUUGAAUUUCGCUUCUAGAAAUAUCUUGGACUCUGCCUCCGGUGGAACAUUCAUGGAAAUCACGUUAGGAGAAGCCACAAAACUCCUAGAUAAUAUCAUGAUGAACUACUCUCAAUGGCACACUGAAAGGUCACCUACUAGUAAGAAGGUACAUGCUAUAGAAGAACUCGUUGAGUGCUAAUAUGGAUGAGUUAAUGAAUUUGAUUGCUAGUAGAAGUGCUCCUUUAGAUCCUAAUGAUAUGCCCUUGUCUUCCUUGAUUGAGAGUAGCAACGCUAGCUUGGACGUUAAUUUUGUUGGUAGGAGUAAUUUUGGCAACAAGAAUGCUUUUAGAGGAAACUACAUUCCUAGGCCUUUUCCUAGUAACUCCUCUAAUAACUUUGGCAACUCCUACAACAAUACUCAUGGAAAUUUGAUACGUCCAUUUUGCAUCAUGUUUUCAUGUUGAUAUUUAUCGCUUCUUUGGCUGUUAUUUCACUUCACGGUACUAUUCUUAUGCCUUUUCUUUCUUAUUUUGCAAGGUUUACAUGAAGAGGGAGAAUACCGGCAACUGGAAUUCUGGCCUGAAAGUGGAGCAAAGUUGAGAUACCUAUUCUGCGCAACUCCAUACGCUGUAAAAAUCAACGAGGAUUUUUUUCCCGAUUUAUCAAAAAUACUGGGCCGAAGAAGUGCCACAGGGGCACUAGGUGGUGCCCACAAGCCUGCACGGCGCGGCCACCCCCUAGGCCGCACCAUGGGGGCUUGUGGGCAGCCCACUGGCCCACUGUCCCCCCUCUUUUGUUAUAUGGAGGGUUUGGUUUCGCCGCCGCCAUGAGGCGGAACUUGAGCAGAACCAAUCUAGAGCUCCGGCAGGACGAUCCUGCCGGGGAAACUCCCUCCUGGAGGGGGAAAUCGUCGCCAUCGUCAUCACCAACACUCCUCUCAACGGAGGGGACUCGUCACCAUCAACAUCUUCAUCAGCACCAUCUCAUCUCCAAACCCUAGUUCAUCACUUGUAACCAAUCUCCGUCUCGCGACUCCGAUUGGUACUUGUAAGGUUGCUAGUAGUGUUGAUUACUCUUUGUAGUUGAUGCUAGUUGGAUUGUUUGGUGGAAGAGUAUAUUUUCAUAUCCUUGAUGCUACUCAUUACCUAUCUGGUCAUGAAUAUGAUUAUGCUUUGGGAGUAGUUACUUUUGUUCCUGAGGACAUGGGAUAAGUCAUGCUAAUAGUAGUCAUGUGAAUUUGGUAUUCGUUCGGUAAUUUGAUAUGUUGUAUGUUGUUUUUCCUCUAGUGGUGUUAUGUGAACGUCGACUACAUAACACUUCACCAUUAUUUGGGCCUAGGGGAAGGCAUUGGUAAGUAGUAAGUAGAUGAUGGGUUGCUAGAGUGACAGAAGCUUAAACCCUAGUUUAUGUGUUGCUUCGUAAGGGGUGAUUUGGAUCCACUAGUUCAAUGCUAUGGCUAGACUUUGUCUUAAUUCUUAUUUCGUAGUUGUGGAUGCUUGCGAGAGGGGUUAAUCAUAAGUGGGAUGCUUGUCCAAUUAAGGGCAGUACCCAAGCGCCGGUCCACCCACAUAUCAAACUAUCAAAGUAACGAACGUGAAUCAUAUGAACAUGCUGAAACUAGCAUGACAGAAAUUCCCGUGUGUCCUCGGGAGCGUUUUCCUCCUAUAAGACUUUGUCCAGGUUUGUCCCUUGCUACAAAAGGGAUUGGGCCACUUUGCUGCACUGUUUCUACUUUUGUUACUUGUUGCUCGCUACGAAUCAUCUCACCACACGAUCACUUGUUACCGACAAUUUCAGUGCUUGCAGAUUUUUCCUUGCUGAAAACCACUUGUCAGAUCCUUCUGCUCCUCGUUGGGUUCGACACUCUUACUUAUCGAAAGGACUAUGAUUGAUCCCCUAUACUUGUGGGUCAUCAAGACUCUUUUCUGGCGCCGUUGCCGGGGAGUGAAGCGCCUGUGGUAAGUGGAACUUGGUAAGGAAACAUUCAUAUAGUGUGCUAAAAUCUAUUGUCACUUGUCACUAUGGAUACUAAUCCUUUGAGGGGCUUGUUUGGGGUAUCUUCACCUCGAACGGAAUCACAAAGAGUUGCUCCUCAACCUUCUGCACCUACUGAAAAUAUUUGCUUUGACUUUCCUUCGGGUAUGCUUGAGAAACUGCUGGCUAAUCCUUUUACAGGAGAUGGAACAUCACAUCCAGACUUGCAUCUAAUCUAUGUAGAUGAGGUUUGUGUUUUAUUUAGGCUUGCAGGUGUGCCCGAGGAUGAGGUCAAGAAGAAGGUCUUUCCUUUAUCUUUGAAGGAUAAGGCGUUGACAUGGUAUAGGCUAUGUGAUGAUACUGGAUCAUGGUACUACAACGGUUGAAAUUGGAAUUUCAACAAAAGUUUUAUCCUAUGCAUUUAGUACAUCAUGAUCGGAAUUAUAUUUAUAACUUUUGGCCUCAUGACAGAGAAAGCAUCGCUCAAGCUUGGGGGAGGCUUAAAUCAAUGCUAUAUUCAUGCCCCAAUCAUGAGCUCUCGAGACAAAUUAUCAUUCAGAACUUCUAUGCUCGGCUUUCUCAUGAUGAUCGCACCAUGCUUGACACUUCUUGUACCGGUUCUUUCAUGAAGAGAGAUAUUGACUUCAAGUGGAAUUUAUUGGAGAGAAUUAAACGCAACUCUGAAGAUUGGGAGCUUUAAGUAGGUAAGGAGUCAGGUAUGAGUUUCACUUGUGAUUGCGUUAAAUCCUUUGUUGAGACAAAUACUUUUUGUGACUUCAGCGCUAAGUAUGGACUUGACUUUGAGAUAGUAGCUUCAUUGUGUGAAUCUUUUGCUGCUCAUAUUGAUCUCCUCAAAGAGAAGUGGUUUAAAUAUAAUCCUCCUUUAGACGUCAAUGUAGUUAAAUCCACUCCAGUUGAAGAGAAAGUCAUUGCCUAUAAUGAUCCUGUGGUUCCCAGUGCUUACAUUGAGAAACCACCUUUCCCCGUUAGGAUAAAGGAUCAUUCUAAAGCUUCAACUGUGAUACAUAGAGGCUAUAUUAGAGUUGAACCUAGCAUUGCUAUUAUCAAAUAUCUUCUGUCUGAAGAAGUUGAGGGACAUAAUAUUCACUUCUGUGAAGAUGCUGCUAGAAUUGCUAAACCUCACGUUAGAGACAAACAUAGGCCUAUUGUUGGCAUGUCUGUGGUUUCUGUUAAGAUAGGAGAUCAUUGUUCUGAUGGUUUAUGUGACGUGGGUGCUAGUGUUAGUGCAAUACCUCAAUCCUUAUAUGAUGAAAUCAAAGAUGAGAUUGCACCUGUUGAGAUAGAGCCUAUUGAUGUCACUAUUCAGCUUGCCAAUAGAGAUACUAUCUGCCCUGUGGGAAUUGUUAGGGAUGUUGAAGUCUUGUGUGGUAAAACAAAGUAUCCUGCUGAUUUCCUCGUUCUUGCUACUGCACAAGAUAGCUUUUGUCCCAUCAUAUUUGGUAGACCUUUUCUCAAUACCGUCAAUGGUCAUAUUGAUUGUGAGAAGCAAACUGUCAGUUUUGGCUUUGAAGGAGUGUCACAUGAGUUCAAUUUCUCUAAGUUUGGUAGACAACCUCAUGAAAAGGAGUUGCCUAGUAGGGAUGAAACUAUUGCCUUAGCUUCUAUUGCCGUGCCUCCUACUGAUCCCUUAGAGCAAUAUUUGCUUGAGCAUGAAAAUGAUAUGCAUAUGGAUGAAAGGGAUGAUAUAGAUAGAGUUGUCUUAGAACAAUAUUCUAUUCUUAAGAAUAACUUGCCUGUUGAACUGCUUGGGGGAUCCACCCCCACCAAAGGGUGAUCCUGUGUUCGAGCUUAAAUAGUUGCCUGAUACUCUUAAGUAUGCCUAUCUUGAUGAAAAGGAGAUAUAUCCUAUCAUUGUUAGUGCUAGCCUCUCAGAGCAUGAAGAAAAGAAGUUACUAAAAACUCUGAGGAAGCACCGUGCUGCUAUUGGAUAUACUCUUGAUAAUCUUAAGGGCAUUAGUCCUACCCUAUGCCAGCACAAGAUUAAAAUUGAUCCUGAUUUCAAACCAGUUGCUGAUCAUUAGAGGAGAUUAAAUCCUUAGAUGAAAGAAGUAGUCAGAAAAGAAAUACUCAAGCUCCUGGAAGCAGGUAUUAUCAAUCCUGUUGCUCAUAGUGAUUGGGUGAGUCCGGUGCAUUGCGUCCCUAAGAAGGGAGGCAUUACCGUUGUCCCUAAUGAUAAGGAUGAAUUGAUCCCAUAGAGGAUUAUUACUGGCUAUAGGAUGGUGAUCGAUUUUAGGAAAUUGAAUAACGCCACUAGGAAAGAUCAUUACCCUCUGCCUUUUAUCGACCAAAUGCUAGAAAGACUGUCUAAACACACACACUUCUACUUUCUAGACGGUUAUUCUGGUUUCUCCCAAAUACCAGUUGCACAAUCUGAUUAGGAGAAAACCACUUUCACCUGCCCUUUCGGUACCUUUGCUUAUAGACGUAUGCCUUUUGGCUUAUGUAAUGCACCUGCCACCUUUCAAAGAUGUAUGAUGGCUAUAUUCUGUGACUUUUGUGAAAAGAUUGUCGAGGUUUUCAUGGAUGACUUUUCCGUUUACGGGUCUUCCUUUGAUGAUUGCCUCAGCAACCUUGAUCGAGUCUUACAGAGAUGUAAAGACACCAAUCUUGUCUUGAAUUGGGCGAAGUUCCACUUUAUGGUUAAUGAAGGCAUCGUCUUAGUACAUAAAAUUUCCGAAAGAGGUAUUGUAGUCGAUAAGGCUAAGGUUGAUGCAAUCGAGAAAAUGCCAUACGCCACAGAUAUCAAAGGUAUAAGAAGUUUCCUUGGUCAUGCUGGUUUCUAUAGAAGGUUCAGUAAAGACUUCUCUAAGAUUUGUAGGCCUCUUACCAAUCUCUUGCAAAAGGAUAUUCCUUUUGUCUUUGACGAUGAUUGUGAGGAAGCCUUCGAAAUACUUAAGAGGGCUUUGAUAACUUCACCUAUUGUUCAACCACCUGAUUGGAACUUACCUUUUGAGAUCAAGUGUGAUGCUAGUGAUUAUGCUAUUGGUGCUGUCCUAGGGCAAAGAGUUGAUAAUAAGUUGAAUGUCAUUCACUAUGAUAGUAAAACUCGAGACAGUUACCAGAGAAACUAUGCUACUAUGGAGAAGGAAUUUUUAGGAGUCGUGUUUGCAUGUGAAAAGUUCAGGUCUUACAUAGUUGAUUCCAAAGUCACUAUUCACACUGAUCAUGCUGCUAUUAAGUACCUCAUGGAGAAGACGGACGCUAAACCUAGACUUAUCAGAUGGGUUCUCUUGCUACAAGAAUUUGAUUUGCACGUUGUUGAUAGGAAGGGUGCUGAUAACCCUGUACCAGAUAACUUGUCUAGGUUGGAGAACGUUCUUGAUGACCCACAACCUAUUGAUGAUAGCUUUCCCGAUGAGCAACUGAAUGUCAUCAAUGCUUCACAUAGUGCACCGUGGUAUGCUGAUUAUGCGAACUAUAUCGUUGCCAAAUACAUACCACCUAGUUUCAUGUACCAGCAAAAGAAGAAAUUCUUCUUUGACUUGAGACAUUACUUUUGGGAUGAUCCUCACCUUUAUAAGGAAGGAGUAGAUGGUGUUAUUAGACAUUGUGUACCUGAACAUGAACAGGGACAGAUCCUACAGAAGUGUCACUCCGAGGCCUACGGAGGACACCAUGCGGGAGAUAGAACUGCACACAAGGUAUUGCAAUCAGGUUUCUAUUGGCCCACUCUCUUCAAGGAUGCCCGUAAGUUUGUCUUGUCUUGUGACUGAUACGUCUCCGUCGUAUCUACUUUUCCGAACACUUUUGCCCUUGUUUUGGACUCUAAUUUGCAUGAUUUGAAUGGAACUAACCCGGACUGACGCUAUUUUCAGCAGAAUUGCCAUGGUGUUGUUUUUGUGCAGAAAUGAAAGUUCUUGGAACAUCCUGAAAAUUUAUGGAGAUUUUUUAUGGAAUAAAAGAAAAAUACAUAUGCAAAGAUCCACCGGAGGGGGCGUGCCAGUGGGCCACAAGCCCACAGGCCGCGGCCACCCCCUAUGGUCGCGCCGUGAGGGCUUGUGGGGCCCACGUGGCACCACCGCCGCCAAUCUCAGCUCUAUAUCUUCCGUUUUGCCUGGAAAAAAAUCAGAGAGAAGGUUUCAUCGCGUUUUGCGAUACGGUGGCGCCGCCACAUCCUGUUCUUCAUCUGGAGGGCAGAUCUGGAGUCCAUUUCGGGCUCCGGAGAGGGGAAAUCGUUGCCAUCGUCAUCAUCAACCUUUCUCCAUCGACAAUUCCAUGAUGCUCUUCAUCGUUCGUGAGUAAUCUCAUCGUAGGCUUAGUGGACGGUGAUGAGUUGGAUGCGAUCUAUCAUGUAAUCGAGUUAGUUCUUGACGGGGAUUGAUCCCUAGUAUCCACUAUGUUCUAGAUUGAUGUUGCUACUACUUGGCAAUGCUUAAUGCUUGUCACUAGGGCCCAAGUGCCAUGAUUUCAGAUCUGAACCUAUUAUGUUGUCGCCAAUAUAUGUGUGUUUUAGAUCCUAGAUUGCAAGUUAUAGUCACCUACUAUGUGUUAUGACCCGGCAACCCCAGAGUGACAAUAGCCGGCACCACUCCCGGAGAUGACCAUAGUAUGAGGAGUUCAUGUAUUCACCGCGUGUUAGUGCGUUGGUCCGGUUCUUUAUUAAAAGGAGAACCUUAAUAUCCUUUAGUUUCCAUUAGGACCCCGCUGCCACGGGAGGGAUGGACAAUAGAUGUCAUGCAAGUUCUUUUCCCUAAGCACGUAUGACUACAUACGAAAUACAUGCCUACAUUAGAUUGAUGAACGGGAGCUAGCCACAUAUCUCUCCGUGUUAUAGCUGUUACAUGAUGAAUCACAUCCGUCACACUCAUCCAUCACCGAUCCAAUGCCUACGAGUCUUUUACUACUGGUCCUCGCUACGUUACUUUGCCUAGGCUUGUCCCUUGCUACAAGAGGGAUUGGGCCACUUUGCUGCUGUUGCUACUGCUGUUACUUGUUACUUUGCUGUUGCUGCUGCUAUUACUGUUCCUUGCUACUCCGCUGUUACUUGUUUCAAGACUUUGUUGGCACCGACAUCCUGUCAACAAGGCUUUUUACAGGCGCCAUUGAUACAACAGUUAGGAAUAGUCUGCCGUCAACAGAUCGUUUCUGGCACCGUUGCUAUCAUACUACUUUGCUACUGAUACUUUGCUUGCAGACACUAAUCUUUCACGUGUGGUUGAAUCUGACACAUUCAGCUGCUAAUACUUGAGAAUAUUCUUUCGCUUCCCGUCGUGCGAACCAACAAAUUUGGGUUGAAUACUCUACCCUCGAAAACUGCUGCGAUCCCAUACGCUUGUGGGACAUGAGUGACGAAUGUCAAAGAAUAGGUAAUAUUAGCAAACGUGAGGAAAUGCCUAUGAACUAUUCACUUGUCAUUGAACCAUUUGAUGUUUGGGGCUUUGAUUAUAUGGGACCUUUUCCAAAAUCCAAUGGGUAUAUUCACAUCUUAGUUGGCGUUGAUUACGUCACUAAGUGGGCAGAAGCUAUCCCCACUAGUAGUGCUGAUCACAACACCUCCAUCAAGAUGCCGAAAGAAGUUAUCUUCCCUAGAUUUGGAGUCCCUAGAUAUCUAAUGAUCGGCGGUGUUUCACACUUCAUUCAUGGUGCUUUCCGUAAAACGCUUGCUAAGUAUGAUGUCAACCAUAGAAUUGCGUCUCCCUAUCACCCUCAGUCUAGUGGUCAAGUAGAGCUAAGCAAUAGAGAGAUUAAGCUAAUUCUACAAAAGACUGUCAACAAGUCUAGAACGAAUUGGUCUAAGAAGCUCGAUGAUGCACUGUGGGCUUAUAGAACUGCCUAUAAGAAUCCCAUGGGCAUGUCUCCGUACAAAAUGGUGUAUGGGAAAGCAGGUCACUUACCUCUUGAGCUAGAGCAUAAAGCUUAUUGGGCAAUCAAAGAACUCAACUUUGAUUUCAAACUUGCCGAUGAGAAGAGGUUAUUCGUUAUUAGCUCGCUUGAUGAGUGGAGAACUCACGCAUAUGAGAAUGCCAAGCUGUUCAAAGAGAAGGUUAAGAGGUGGCAUGAUAAGAGAAUACAAAAGCAUGCGUUCAAUGUAGGUGAUUAUGUCUUGCUAUAUAACUCUCGUUUAAGAUUCUUUGUAGGCAAGCUUCUCUCUAAAUGGGAAGGUCCCUAUGUUGUUGAGGAAGUAUAUCGUUUCGGUGCUAUCAAGAUCAACAACACAGAAGGUAAUUGUCCGAGAGUGGUAAAUGGGCAGAGAAUCAAGCAUUAUAUCUGAGGUACUCCCAUAAAUGUUGAAAGCAAUAUCAUCAAUACCAUAACUCUGGAAGAAUACCUAAGGGACAAUUAUCAGCCCGUUUCAGAUUCCGAAAACGAAGAGGUAUGUGAUUCGGUAAGAAAACAGAGUCCAAAACUUUUCCAAUAGGAAUUUUUCUCUGUUUUGGAAUAUUUGAAAAAAUACAAAAAUUGGAAGUAGUCCGGAAAGUGCGCGAGGAGGCGACAAGCGUGCACGGCGCGGGCCCACCCCCUAGCCGCGCCGUGAGGGCUUGUGGACACCUCGUGUGCCUCCCGGACUCCGUUUUCGUGCAGGGUACUCCUUCUGGUCUGAAAAAGAAAUCAUUAUAUAUACUUUCGUUUGGUCUGACCCAUGCAUCACGCAGAUUUUCUCUGUUUUUCGUUUCAAGCGUGUUUUCUGCCGUAGAUCUAGGUCAAGAUGUCUUCUCAGGAUUCAGAGGGGGAGAGCUAUGUGGCUGAUUACCUUGCUAACCCCAAGUUCUAUGGGGACUGUGAUCCAUAUGGGUGGACCACUGAUGAGGAAGAAGACUAUGAUCCCAAGUGGAAGGAACAAACAAGUUCCGAUGAAGAGGAGGCUCCUCUACCUCAACCUGGACACACUCAUGUGGAGUUCAAGAAGUCGAGCCUCCCUGACUCAAGGAAGAAGCCUAAGACCUUGUUUAUCCCUUCUCGUUUCUUGUAGGAGAGUAAGCAGGAAUUAUGCCAAAGGGUGUUGAAGCUUGAAGAGGAAAAUGAUGAUCUGAGGGAUCAGAAUUUUAUGCUCAAGUGGAAAUUAAACAAGCUCAAGACCUCUUCAACAACUCCUCCACCAUCACCACCAAAGGAAGACAACUGAGCAUUGGUAUGGGCAAUCCCCUUGGCUUGUGCCAAGCUUGGGGGAGUUGCCCCGGUAUCGUAUCACCAUCACAUCUUUUGCCUUUACCUUUGUUUUAGUUUUCCUUUUCAGUUUUCUUUUUCUCUAGUAGUUUAAAAGUCUUAGUGUUUUAGUCUUGAGUUUUGCUUUGUGUCACCCCCGAUGUAUUCUUGCGCGUGAGCCAUAUAAUAAAGAAUGUCUUAGUUGAAGGGCUUUGCCUCUUGCCAUGAUCAAAAGAGUGAGAAUAGAACAAAAGCAUGAAAGAUCAUGUAAUGAUCUUAUGGGAAGUGAUGGCUUCACAUAUAAAAAGAAUGAGGAUUGAAACUUGUUGAGGGUAGGCAAACGUAGAACUUGGUCAUUGUUGCAAUUAAUAGGAAGUGAUAAGGAAGGAGAGGUUCACAUACAAAUAUAUCAUCUCUAACACCAUCUAAGAUUGCGAACACUCACUAAACUAUUACAUGCCUAGAAGUUGUAACAUCCCAAUUUUCCUAACUGGGAAUGUUUUACAAUUGUAGCUAAGCAUCUAUGCAUAUUGAAAGGCAAUAAAGAUUUGCAUUUGAAUUCUUUCAAAAAAAAAUUCUUUUGCAUUUCUAUUUGUUUUCUUCGUGCAAGAUGUGCCGAGAAAUAAUUUCUUGCAAGCAAGAAAGAGCGGAGGAAAAUGACCCUCCAAAAUGUGAGGCAUUUCUGAAAUAUUUUGAGCCAAGAAAACCAAAGUUUUAUUGAGAAAAUAUUUGCAAACAGAAAAUAAAGCUUUUAGGGUUUUUCCAAAAAAUAACAUUUUUUAAAAGUUUUUAUUUUGGCCUUGGAAAAAUGUUAAACGUGUAGAGAUUUUUUUUCUGGAAUUUUUGGUAUAUAAUACCCUAUAUUAAUUAUUUUAUUUUGUUUCCUUUUUAUUCGUUUUAGUUUCUGUUGUAUAAAAAAAAGCUAAAACGGGAAUAUUCUUUUUUAAAGGGAAACCCACCCCGAGCGCAUUAUAACCGGCCCACCGCCCCGGGAUCCCCUGCCUUUCCUAUUUGGGGCGAACACCCAGCCGCCCCUACCUCCCCUCACUGACCCCUGGGCCCCGCCCGCGCCGUCCCCACCCGCAGCGCCGCCCCCACCCGCGCGCACCCCCUUUCUCCUUCCUCCUUCCUUUUCUCUCUCCUCCCUUUCCUUCUCUCAGCCGACCCCGAGCCCCCCUUCGUCGGAGCCCCGAUCCCCUCUCAGAUCUCUCUCACCUUCCCCUCCCGAGCCCCUAGCCCCCCAAUAUAAAGCCCCCUCCGCCACCGCACCCCGUUCCUCACCUCGCCGCCCCAGCCCUCGCCCCACGCCGCCCCCACGCGAGCUCGCCGGAGCUCCGAGCUCGGCCGAAGCCCCGGCUACUCCCCUCGCCGCCCCGAGCCUCCCCUCCCCUCGCCGCCGCCGCCAUUGGACGCGGGAGCCUCACCGCCGCCUCCCCAAUCCCUCGGACGCCGUCGGGACUCGCCGGAACAACCGCCCCGACCUCCCUCCGCCUUGGCCUCGCCGGAGAUCCUCGCCGGAGCUCCUGCCUCCUGUGAGCCUUCUCUCCUAACCCCCGUAGCGGUCGGAUCUUAUUUGUACGCGCAUGAUUAGAAACGAGGAUGCCCUUUCGGUCUUUUAAAUAAAACCGAAACGGUUUUCUUAUUCACUUAUUAAAAAUGAUUUUUAGUUGAUUCUUUUUGCUACUGCUUCCUAGUGAUUAUAUCUUACUGUAGUAUAAGUUUAAUUUUUUUUAAAUAUUUGUACUUGGGGUUUUAUCAGAAACAAUUUCUGCCUUUGUUCGGUGAAGUGAAUUCUUUCACUUUAGGCCAUAGCUACUUUAUGCUUGUGAUGUUAUUUUACUUGUUGAUGAUUGUAGUGCUUAUGGUGUGUAUUUGUUUGUAUCGUUAGAUCACCCGGAGUGCGAAGCUUGUUACUUAGAAGCGCUCGAUCAAGACAACUAUCAUCAAGGCAAGUCAUUUUGAUCAUACUAUUCGCCUAUGUUUUCUAUGCAUGGUAGUUUCACCUUUCUUUGCCCACUUGCAUGCUGAGUAGGUACUUGGAAAUUAUAGUUAUAGGUUGUAGUAUCAUGUGGUAGGCACACAACAACCCCGAUACUUGGCCCGGGACGACAAAUUUCAUAUUGCUAUGCUUGAGUAGACGGGAUUCUGGUUGAGUGCAUAACACGAGUGAUGCGAGGAUAAUUAAAUAACCAAGACCGGUUAAGUCAAGAUUUUCAAGACCUCAUUAAGCAAUGCAACUAUGGGUGAAGGACGGUUUGACGGGCUCCCUGGAGCAACGUGUGGACGACCCCGGGAUGCUGGAGACGUGCCAUGACAUCUUGCGGAAAGCUUCACCCAGGCUCGAAGAGACGGACGGAGGCUUCAAGACCCAAGGCAUACCUGCACAGCCAUAAGUCAUUAUGGGCUCUGGCUUGGUUGGACAACGGGGCGACUCUGGACAGGCGGUGCUAGCAGAUGUAGAAGAACGGUAGGAAUGGAUGGGCACCGACAGGGAUUCGGAGGGACCCGUUGAAAGACCAUGUUUUGAUCAUCUGGUCUUCAAACACCCUGAAGUGUGAGGACAUACUCGGAGGCGAUCAAAUCUUGUGGGGAACGUGUGCAAAACUCUGCAGAGUGCCUAAAACUAAUCGAUUAGCCGUGUCCACGGUCUUGGACAACUUGAGCCGAAGGCAUUGAAAUUUCCCUGAACUCUCGACACAAUUUAAUAAUGUUGUGGGAAUUAUCAACAACUCGGGUACGAGAAUUGGUUGGCGGAACCAUCUCGUUAACAACAAACAAUGUAGUAAUAUUUCGCUUUUAGCCCUCUCUUGUUGUAGGAGAAAAUUAGCUAUAUGCAAAACUUAUAGCCCCACCGGCCAAAUAUGCAUGUAGAGAUAGUUGGUUAUAAUUUUUCCGCUCUCUUGAUGACUUGCCGGCAUAUUCCAUAUGCUGACCUACACGGCUGCAACGUAUCAUGUUGCAGAGUACUUUUCCGACCAAGAGUGAGGCUACGAUCUACGCUCAACGACAUGCCCUGGAGUCGGAUGGACUCGUCUACCUGAUGCUUCCGCUAGUCUUCAUUAGAUAUCUCAUGAGAUGGCCUUCAGCCACUUUAUUGUAAUUCAUUAUUGUAAUAAAGUACUCGAUAUGAGAUUUUGAUUAAUAAAGAUGUGUGAUUGAACUCUUGAUAUAUACAUUGAUGUACUGAGUGUGUACCAGCAUGAUUUUGGGAUGGUACGGAAACACCAGAGGCUUGACUCGUAUUGAGUCGGGACGCUACAGAAAUGGUAUUCAGAGCCCACGCUGACCGUAGGACGUAACCUCUAGGAAUGGAAAAUCCUUAGGAAGAAAACUAUUUUCUUAUGUCUAUAAAUCCUCUAUUUCCUCUUCUGAUCAUUUCUGACUUCUCUCCGAUUUUCCAAUGUUUUAGAUGGCCAUCUUCAUCCCCGUUAAGUUCACGGAGUUUUGCCAGCCUGACGCCACUAUGCCUUUCGGAAAGGAGCUGAUACAGAUCACCAAGGACUUGAGGAUUGCUCUGUCGACUAUCACAGGGAAGCCCACUUCGUCUUACUCGGAGGAUUCACGCUACAGGAUUGAGGUGCACGUUCCCGGAAGGACAUUCGAGCCGCGCACUGAGCCUGUGGACUUCAAGUUCAUCGCACCCAACUGGAUUCUCGGAAGGGACAUGGCGGCCAUUGUGCACUCGGACAUAUCAAGGAAGUGUACAGAGGCUGCCCUAUUUCACCGGACCUAUUCACGGUAUCCCGGAGAGGAGAAGAUGGAGAAACCAUCUCAAGCAAGACCAAGGACGCUCUCCUGUCAUAUGCCCAGACCUUGGAGAAGCACAGCGGGACUCUGGAGCAUCGUGUGAUCAAGGACGCCAGGAAGAUCAAGCAACUGUCGCUCCACGAACUCGAACUCGAAGAAGCAGCCCGGGAAGCCCACUAUGAGCACGAAUUGGAGGUGAAGGACUUCCUGGAGAGGAUCGAGAAGCUGAAGACUCGAGUUGCAUACCUAGAGGAGGAACUGGACAUGGGCGAGAACCUUCAUCCCGAAGGAGACGUAGCCCCCUUGAUCAGCAAUGAGGAGGACUAUCAGGAAAGCUCCACCGAAGGAUCCACCACCAUUUUUUUCUGAGGAGGACACUUAGACUAGUCCACCAAAUUUAUCUUGUCGUUAAACGCUUAGGCCGAUGUUUAGGUUAUCGAAUUUUGUAUCCCCGUGUGUGAACCUUUUGUGAUGGUAUUGAAUAAAAUGUGUGGUGUGAUACUUGUUUGUUGCAUUUCAUAUGGGUAGUGUAAUUACUCUCUAGUCCAUUGUUCUAUGCUAAUCUCACCCCUCUACAAACACUAGAUGCCUCCGAGACAUGCCCGUGCUUCCAACUUUCCGCCGAAACUCACUCAGUUGAUUCAGCAACAGAAUACCCUGAUGCAGCUGAUCAUCCUGAACCAGAACAAUAACAACAACCAUCAUCCACCCCAGGCCGACAAUCUCACCCGUUUCCUGAGGUUGAACCCUCCGACUUUCUCCAGCAGCAUUGAGCCCAUUGUGGCAGAUGAUUGGCUCCGCAAGAUGGAGCGGGAACUAAUCACUGCUGGUUGUACUGAAGCUGAGAAGGUGCGCUUUGCCGCGCAUCAACUUGAAGGCCCUGCAGCUGCAUGGUGGGAGAACUACACCACCACAUACCCCAUUCCUGGAGUCACUUGGGAGCAGUUCAAGCAAGCCUUCCGCACCGCACAUGUCUCAGCUAGUGCAAUGAGUCUGAAGAAGCGUGAGUUUCGCAACUUACGCCAGGGAAAUCGCUCUGUGGCUCAGUAUGUCGAUGAAUUCAGCAUGCUCGCCCGAUAUGCGCCUGGAGAUGUGGCCGAUGAUGCGGCCAAGAAGGAAAAGUUCUUAGAGGGACUCAAUGAUGAGUUGAGCAUACAGCUGACUAUAGCUAACUUCAACAACUACCAGGAGCUGGUAGAUAAGGCCCUCAUCUUGGAGGGGAAACAUCAGCAGAUGGAGAACCGCAAGCGGAAGUAUGGCAAUGGAAAGUUCAACUCCGGCACUCAGCAGAAGCCUCGCUACACCCCCUAUUCAGGGAAUACCAGGAAUGGAUCCGGUAAGUUUGGAGGACACGUCCAGCAUAACCAACCAGUGCACAACCAUGGAGGAAAUGGGAACCACCACAACAACAGCAACUUCAAGAAUGGCGGUACCGGCACUCAGCAUCAUUCAGCUCCAGCUCAGAAGGAUCUGAAUCACAUCACCUACUUCAAGUGUCAGAAGACGGGACACUAUGCCACUGAAUGUCCCCAGAACAAGCAGGGAAAUGGAAACAGCAACGACAACUCUACAGCAAAGAAGCCCAAUCCUUUUCCUCGAGCUCAGGUGAAUCACAUUGAUGUUGAAGAGGUCUAUGAUCACCCCGAUAUUGUGGUUGGUAAGUUUUUGCUAAAUUCACGUCCAAUAUUGGUACUUUUUGAUUCUGGUGCAACACAUUCAUUCAUAUGAAGGGUAGUUGUGGAAAAGUAUAGUUUGCCAACUAGAACCCUCAGCCAGCCUAUUAAGGUCAGUUCCCGAGGAGGCAUGAUGACAGCCGGGAUAGGAUGCCAUGCUUUGAGUCUCAACAUCGGGAACCAUAAGUUUCCCACCGACCUCAUCGUAUUAGAGUCUGAGGGAUUGGAUGUAAUCCUAGGCAUGGAUUGGUUGGCCAAGUACGAAGGGAAUAUUGAUUGUGCCCUUAAGUCUAUUUUGCUCACCACCCCCGAACAAAAGCGGAUUAAGUACGUGUCUCAGCGCCCGACACGGAGUAAACGAGUAAACUCUCUCACGGGAGUAGUCUAGGAGGAAGUAUCGAUUGUACAAGAAUACCGAGAUGUAUUUCCGGAGGAAUUGCCAGGCAUGCCACCUGAUAGAGAGAUUGAGUUCCUGAUUGAGCUAUUACCCGGAAUAGCC